rnacentral:lncRNA from 1 species
UGUGGUGCUAAAAUGGUUAAGUUUGCACCUUCUGGGGCUGCAACGAUGGCGGAAGUUGCAUUCUUGGCAUUCUUUCCGUUGUAAAGAACGUCAUGAAAGUAGAGAACCAACUGUUUACAAGGCUUGUGUUUUUGCUUUUUCACCAUAGGUAAGGCCGAGCAUGAAGAAGAAGAGAAUAAGAACAAAGCCAAAACAGUGAUAGUAAUACAAUUUUUUGUUGAGAAAGCCAUUGAAGAUUUUUGGUUAAAAUUCAAAUUUUUGUUUCACUAAGUGAAGUGUAAGGAAAGUAGGUUUUGAAGUGAUUUUUUCUUGGUUCAUCCAUAUGACUUUAUAUAAAGCAACCAAAAAAAUGAAUUUGUUUUAAUUAAUUGUUAUUAUUAUUUUAAAUUUACAAUUCUCACAAGUAAGUAAUUGACUUCUUAGUUAGCAGAGGAGGAGAUGAAUUCAAAGUAUUAGUUGGUUAAUAUUAUUGUAAAUAGAGUUACUUUUACGUCACAAUACAUUUACAUAAUUGAGUUGGCAUGGUUGGUUUAAGAUUAAAUACAUUAUUGUCAUAUACUUUGAACCAUUAGCAGGAAACUUGAUUUUAACAUUUGAAUAAAUCGACAAAUAAGAAAAAAAAUGUUCAUUCGAUAAUGAAAAUUUACAUUAACAUGAGUAUAUAAACUGAAACAUCUCUCGAUUGAUAAAAGAAUAAUCACACUUUCUUUAAGGAUAUAGACUUUUGAUUUAAGUUUAGUCGUUUAUGAUCGUUAUAUUUUUUUCCAAACAAAUAUACAAGUAUUUACCAUUAUUGUUACACUAUUACAAAGUUAAUUAAUGCUCUUUUUGACUAAAGUUGAGGAAUAUUAAUGGACCUAUAUGCAAUUAUUUGUUGAUUUAUUUGACUAAAAGGGAGGAAUGUUAUGGGACCUAUUUGCAUGCAUUGGUGAGCAACUCAAAGAGAAUUUUCUAGUUAAGCAAUAAUCUAUUCAAUUGUUAAUUGAAAACUCUUUCUUUUAUAAGAUUGGAAUUCCCUCCCUAAUUAAUUUAAUCACUCAAUUACAAACAUAUCUUCACUACCAUGAGUUUAAUAGAUUGACUGUGACAAACAACUAUUUGUAUAAUGAUAGAAAUAAAUAACAGUCUAUCAAUUAUCAAUAAAACAAAAUAAAUAUAGAACAUCACAAAUAAGUUGUGAUAUUUUGAUAUAUUUGUAAAUAUUUUGAUUUAUACUACUACGUAAUUAAAUUAGUUUUUGUUUUUUUAGUAUUUGAUUAAGAAUUUUUUUAUUUAAGAAAUAUAAACAUCUAAAUUAUUUUAAGAAAUAGAGGAAUUUAGAUUAUUUGAUUUUUAAUUUAGAAUAAAAGAAAAAGGUUUGAAUUGAGUGUAUAAUUUGGGUUAGGUGAAUUAUGAUAUGAUUUUCUAAUUGGUGGGUGAUUGUCUAACCCUAACUCUCACAAAAUAAUGUGUUUGUUGAAAUUAUAGUUGGAUAGGAAAAUAGUUUUUUAGGACACUUUUCAAAAUAAUAAAAUAAAUUAAAAUAUUUAUAAGUGAUAGUAAAAUUUUGGAUUCUAUCGUGUUCUAUCACGUAUAUCAAACACUAUCAGUGAUAGAAUUUGCUAUAAGUUGUAAAUAUUUUGUAAAAUCUACUAUUUUUUAAUUUUUAAUUUUUUUUUUUGCCUUUCUGUUUUUCAAUUUUCAUGCAUUCAAUUAUGAAUUAUUUUAUAAUCUUAAGGGGUCGUUUGGCUAAGGGUUAUCUGUAUUGGGUUAGAGUUAUGAUAACUAACCUUUGUUUGGGAAGGAUUAUAAUAAACCUUUUCCCUCUCUCUUUUUUCUCGAUCCCUUUUCAACUACUCAUAAACCUACAUUUUCAAAUCUCUAUAUUUUUAUUAUUAAAAAAAUAUACUCUUUUAUUUAUCAAAUGCUAUUUGUUUUUAACUAAUUUAAUACUCUUAAAAGAAUAUUAUUUUUAAUUUAUUUUAUUUACGAAAUUAAUUUUAAUUAAAUACUAAUUAUAAUUAGUUUAUGCAUUUAGCCCUAGUAUUGAACUUUUUUUUAAAUUUUAUUAUUUCGUGUCUUUUAUUUAUUUUUCUUCCUUUUUCAUCUUUGAAUAUUUUAUAUAAACUGCUUUGGAUGAAUUUAAGUUAAAUAAAUUUCUAAAAAAUGAGUUUUAUUAAAUUUAUAUAAAAGCAAAAUAAAAUCAAACGAGACGAUUUGAUAUUAAAUUAAAUAACUUUUGAAUCCUUAAAUAACUUAAAAUUUGUAUAACAAAUAUUUUUUUUUUUGAAAGUUUAAACUUUGAAUAUAUAAGAAUUUUCUUUUUAAAAAAUCAAUUUAAUGGCAAGAUUUGAUUUAACAUUUUUUUAUUUAAAUUUUGAAUCUAAUUUUUUUAUCAAAUUAUGCUCAUACCUUUCAAAAGGUACUUUUUGUUUUCAAAUGGUUACCUGGUUUAUGAUCGUACACCAAAUAUAAAAGAUAUAUUUUUAUUAUCUUUUCUUUUUCAAACUGUUAUUUGUUAUUUGAUUGGUCAAGAUCGUGUACCAAUAUAAAAUAUCUUUAAAAAACAUUAGAUAUUGAUACUUCGUUUACAAAUAUAAAUGGUUAUGUAAUAAAGGAUAGUCAAAUCUAAACGAUACUUAUCAAAAAAAAUGAAGAAAAAAAAUCGUUAAACAAUCAAACUUAAACGAUCAUAUAACAAAGAAUAGUCAAAUCUAAAUGAUCACAUAUCAAUCUUAAAAAAAAAGUCAUUUAGAUUUGGGUAACCAAAUAUAAACGAUGAAAUUUUUAAAAAUAGAAGAAUUGACAAACUUUUUACUAACUAUGACAGAAUUUUAACAUAAGCCCAAAAUUGACAAACACUUUGUUAUAUUGUUAGUUGUCAUUGAAAUUUGUAGUGAUUCAUUCAAGAGGAAUUUAUUUAUGAAAUAACUUACUAUAUUCUUCAACUUCCAUUUUAUUUCUUCACUUCUAGAAUUAGUUCUUUUAAAAGCAAAUGUUUGAUCUCAAGUUGAAUUUUUACGUUAGUAAUUCUUCAAAAUGUAUAAUAAAUUAGUAGCAACCUAAAGUUGUCUCUUUGAUGAUUUUUUUUCUCCUCUAUAUUUCUAUUAAUUCAUUGUGUUAAAUUGAGAAAUUAGUCCUCUGACUUUUUUUUAAAAUAAAUAAACCGUUUAGAGAGUUUUAUUUUUAAUGAGGACUGGUUUUCAAUAAACUGGACAUAAUUUUUUUCUAAAAAGUAAAAAUGUUAAAAUAUGAUGAAAAUUUAUAAAAUCAUGCGAAGAUAAAAGUUGUUUGAGUUAAAAUUAAGAAAAAAUAUUUUAAAUGAUGGAACUUUUAAAAAUAUUUACAAAUAUAGUAAAAUAUAGAUUGUUAUAGACUAAGAUAUACUACUGAUCGUGACGAUUGUAAAUAUUUUAGUUUAUUUUAUUAUAUUUCAAAUAACUCUAAAAUUUAUGGAAACUAUGUAGCUAAAUCCAAACAAAAAUGAAUAUCGAUCGACUAGAUCACUAAGUAAAACACCACCAUUAGAAAAAUAUACAGUACUUCUUGAGUUGCAACUUUUUCGUAGAGUUCAUCUAAAUGGUGAGUCAAGAGCAUUUCAAAAGUUGUUGGAUUGCAAACUUUUUUUGAAAGAAGAAACUAUAUAUUUGUUUUAUAUUUUCUUUUCUUUUAUGAUUGAAAGAAACGGAUAAAAAUGAUGUCAUCUAAGUAUUAACUCUAAGAAAUUUUUCUAUCAUAACUUUUAUUGAAACCAAUAAUUUAGCAAAUGAUCUUAACUUUAUGAUCAAUACUCAACAGACACCAAAAACAAAGAUUUUUUUAGAACAUUACAUCACAUGAUUAAAUACGAGCAUAUGAUAGAAAGAGCAAAUUAAAAUGAAACUUGUUUGAUAAAAUUUACCAACACUCAUAGAAUUUUAUGUCAACUCGUAGCCUAAAAUAGACUUCUCCUUCAAAAGCAUCAGUCAUUAUGGUAGCAACACCACGGUGCAUAAAAAAGUCUCCCGUGCCGCCGACGACAGAGAUAUCUCUAGUUUUCACCAGAAUUGGGUCAGCUCCAACGAAGUUGAUGGUACCUUUAUAUGCCGUGUAGUUUAGAGAAAAGGAGAAGGCAAGCCAUGCCGUGAAAGUGUUUUUCGUGUCAUAAAUGUACAUCCCUUGAGCUCGACCUACCGGAUUCGAGUGAAGAUUGUUGUCCAAAGUAAUGGGAUCGUCGAAAACAACUAUGUUUCCAAAGUGAAACUGUGGUGCUAAAAUGGUUAAGUUUGCACCUUCUGGGGCUGCAACGAUGGCGGAAGUUGCAUUCUUGGCAUUCUUUCCGUUGUAAAGAACGUCAUGAAAGUAGAGAACCAACUGUUUACAAGGCUUGUGUUUUUGCUUUUUCACCAUAGGUAAGGCCGAGCAUGAAGAAGAAGAGAAUAAGAACAAAGCCAAAACAGUGAUAGUAAUACAAUUUUUUGUUGAGAAAGCCAUUGAAGAUUUUUGGUUAAAAUUCAAUUUUUUGUUUCACUAAGUGAAGUGUAAGGAAAGUAGGUUUUGAAGUGAUUUUUUCUUCGUUCAUCAUAUGGCUUUAUAUAAGGCAACAAAAAAAUGAAUUUGCUUUAAUUAAUUGUUGUUAUUAUUUUAAAUUACAAUUGUCAAAAGCUCACCAACAACUCAAGUAAGUCAUUGACUUCUUGAUUAGAGGAGAAGAGAUAUUCAAAUGUAUUACUUGGUUAAUAUUAUUGUAAAUAGAGUUACUUUUACAUGAAUAAUACAUUUAUAUAUAUUUAAUUUAAGAUUAAAUACAUUAUUUAAUGUAUAUAAUGAUCACAUAUUUAUUGUCAUCUACGCUUUGAAUCAUUAAUGGUAAACAUCUCUCGAUUGAUAAAACAAUAAUUACACUUUCUUUAAAGACACUCACUUUUGACUUAGUUGUAGAAGAUAAGAAUGUAACGCGGUCCGAUUCAAAACGUUUUUUUUUUUCUUUUUUUCUAAUAAGAAGAGAUAUGUAUGUUUUGUUUGGAAGAAAAUAAUGAUCACGAAGGAUGGAACUUAAAUCCAUCAAGUAAUUACCACUAUUUUUUUUUCUAUAAUGCUCUUUUGACUAAAGAUCAGAGAUAUUAAAGGACCUAUAUGCAAUUAUUUAUUGAUUUAUUUGACUAUAAUGGAGGAAUGUUAUGGGACCUAUUUGCAUGCAUUGGUGAGCAACUCAACAUCUUUUGACUGCCUUUUAUUAAAAUAUCCAUAGAUUGACCUCUAGAGAGGAUUUUUUAGUUAAGCAAUCUAUUCAAUUAUUAAUUGAAAACUCUUCUUUUUUAUAACAUAGAAAUGCCCCUAAUCCAUUAAUCACUCAAUUACAAAUCUAUCUAAAUUUAAUAGAUUGAUUGUUGAUAAAUAACUAUUUGUAUCAUGAUUGAAACAAAUGAUAUAUUUGUAAAUAUUUUGAUUUAUUUUGCUAGGUAAUUAAAUUAGUUUUUGUUUUUUUGGGUAUUUGAUUAAGAAUUUUUUUAAUUAAGAAAUAUAAACAUUAUUGUAAGAAAUAGAGGAAUUUAGAUUAUUUGAUUUUUAAUUUAGAAUAAAGGAAAAAGUUUGAAUUGAAUGUAUAAUUUGAAGAUAGGUGAAGGGUUAGGUGAAUUAUGAUAUGAUUUUCUAAUUGGUGGGUGAUUGUCUAACCCUAACUUCUCACAAAAUAAUGUGUUUGUUUAAAUCAUAGUUUGGUAAGAAAAUAGUUUUUUUUUUUUUUUUUUUUUUGCCUUUCUGUUUUCCAAUUUCGAUGCAUCCAAUUAUUAAUUAUUUUAUAAUUUUAAGUGUUUACUUACUUCUAAUUUCUACUUUUUAAAAGUUAAUUAUAAUUAAUAUUUUUCUCCAUUUUCAUUCAACAAAGUAGAAGUGUAAGUUGGUUAUUUAUAAACUCACAUUCAAUAAUCAAUUGAAUUCACAUCAUAAUCAGAUGGAACCCUUAAAUUUAUGUUAAUUUUCUUUAAUUCAAUUUCAAAAGUAUAUAUUUCAGUUUUUUCUAACGUUUUAGUUUCCUUAAAUUUUUAAAUUAAAAUAUAAUAUAACUGUGUAAAACGGUUGAAAAUAUUUAUAAACAAAGUUACAAUUUAGAAAAAUCUUCAUAAAUAUAACAAAUCACUCUUCUUCUUCUACAAUUCUACUUUUAUUUUUUUUUUCAAACGGUUAUUUGGUUUAUGAUCGUGUACAAAAUACAAAAUAUAUAUAUAUAUAUAUAUUUUCAAACGGUUAUUUGGCUGUUUAAGAUAGUGUACCAAUCUAAAUCUAAAAGAUCUUAAAAAGAACAUUGGAUAUUGGUAUGUCAUUUACAAAUCUUGAUAGUCAAAUCUAAACGAUCUUGUACAAAAAAAAAAUUGAAGAAAAAUAUCCUUAAACAAUCAAACCUAAACUAUCAUAUAGCAAAGAACAGUCAAAUCUAAAUGUUCACAUACCAAUUUUUUUAAAAAAAGUUAUUUAGAUUUGGAUAACUAAAUAUAAACGAAAGAAUUUUUAAAAAUAAAAGAAUCGACAAACUAUUUAUUGUGUAUAGCAAAAUUUUAAUCCAAACUCAAGUUGUAUAACUAAAAUUUUAACCUAAGUCCAAAAUAUCCAUUUUUUUUUUGUUAUACGACGUAGAUACUUUCUAUUUUCUUCUAUUUAUGUAAAUUUUCUUAUAAACGAUUGUGUACCAAAUAUAUUAGACACAAGUGACGACAACAUUUUUUAUAUUUUCCAAGUAUUUUGUCACUUCGUUAUAUUUAAAAAAAAAAACCCUAAAAUUUAUCUAUGGCUAAUGUUUGUGAACGAUUAAAAAUGCUUUUAUUUAAGAAUCGGAUGAUUUAUAAUUCAUUAAAUCAAAACUGAGUUUUAUAAUUAUUUGUUCAUUAAACUUUCAAGAGUGUAAUCAUUUUUUUUUAAGAAAAACAUCCACAUGUACUCUUAAUUUUAAAAAAGUUAUUUAAAAAGUUAUAACCUAAAGGCCAAUAGUUUUUCAAUUGGCAAAACCUUUCAAAUUGAGGAUCAAAAUUCAUGCUUGCUUUCUUCUAAAUCAUCUUUUUCUCUCUUGAAAAUAAGUUCAAUCAACUAUCAUUAAUAAUGAAUCAAAAUUAAAGUCUAAAUUAGUUGGUGGAAGUGGAAUAUAAUAUGGGAAAGACCUUAAAUUUCUCCCCUUUUGGUAGGUUAAUAGGGGGAAUGAAAUGUUUUCUUGGUGUUAAAUUAUUUAAUGGUGGAGGAUUUUGACGUUGACAUUCAUAAAUUAACUAUUGAAGUCGGUACCGUAUUAAUUUUGAAACGUUGUAGGAAUUUAAACAUAUGAUAUCAUAGAUUAAAUUAUUCUGAUACCAGCUUAAAUCACUAAUGAACGAAUGAGAAAAUUUUAAUUAUAACAUCGUCUCUAAAAAUAUAAAAAGUUGUACAUAAAAAAGAUUCAAAUUUAACGUAGCUUUUAAAAUAAUGAAAAAUUAAAAGUCUCGUUUCAUAACUAUUUUGUUUUUGUUUUUAUUUAUAAAUUUGACUUAAAAGCAUUUGUGUAGCAUAAAAGUUAAAAAGUAGAACAACGGUAAACAUGUGUAAGAAAGCAGAAAGUAACUUUUUUUUAGAUUGAUGUAACAUAUAAUUAAUUUCUUCUAAACCAUCUUUAAAAUGCAUGAACAUCAUAUUUUUUCUUUAGAAAAAAAAUAAAAAAGUUUUUAAACAUGAUGUUGGAGUAACUUUUAAGGGUUGAAAAAUGAUCUUAAUGGCUUUUAAUAUUCAAAUACCAAAUGAUAAUAAAUAAUUAAGUAGAGGUGGAUGCUAAAAUCUUCUUUGUUCAUAUUUUGGAUUUUAGUUUAAGUUGGUGGUUUGUAGGCACCACUCAGCUGUUUAGUCAAAUAAUCCCAUUUAUUAAUCAGUGUUGUUUUUAAGAUUUUUUUUUCCAAUGUUAUUUUUGUUCUUUCAAAAUAUCUUUUAUCGAUACAAUUUGAAGUGUGAGAUUUAAACCUAAGACUUCGUGUUCUCGACAACAUAAUAGAUGUUAGGUAAGUUAAACUUAUGUCAGUGCAUUAAUCGUUUUAGAUGGGUUGAUGUCCACUGUGCAACAAUAUUUUUCUCAUGUUGGUUAUUAUAAUAAAUUUUCAGUUCCUUUUAGGUUGGUGUUAGUCUAUUUUGAGUUUUUCUCCUUUUUUGUGUGUGCAUAUUUAAGAGAAUGUUAUUCUAUUGUGAAGAUGGUUGUUUUGAAGAAUUUUGAGUUUUUUUUUUUUUUUUGUUGGUGUUGAAAAUACAAAUAUGUUAAUUAUGUGAUUGUGAAACUUUUGCUACUUUGAAUUUGGAGUGUUUCUUUAUAUUUGUUGAAUCAUUGUACUAGAACUUGAGAAGAGAUUCUCAACCGUGAGUGGAGCAUAGGAUUUUGAAGUGAGCAGUCUUCAUUUCAAGUAAGAAAAUAUAGAACUUUGAGUUGAGAAGAGAUCUCACAAUCAGGAGAAUACUAACUUGACCAUUCAAGAAUAUUUUUGUAUCUAAGAAGAGCUUAAAUAUGUGAAAGAUGACGAGAUCUCACGUUUAGAGGAGUCAGAUUUUUCUUGAGAGCAGGUUAUCCUUCUUUAAGUUGGAUUAUUCAAACAUCACCCUAAUUGUUAUUUAUUUGCAAACAAAUACAUUGUUAUAAUUGUUUGAUUUUAUAUUAGCGAGAUCUUUUUCCACAUAAACACUAUCUCCAAAUAUAGAUAAUAUUUCAUUGGAUUGUCAAACUAUAUUAUACUCUGGCGUGUUUAUUUUUCACGUUCUUGAAAUUGUGUUGGUAUUUUAUCAUGAAUUACGUAACUUUUAUUUUAAAAUUAAAUUUAAAUAUAGUUGAAAUUAUAAUAGACUGAAAUAAUUUAAAUCCUUCCUUACCUUAUUUUGGUAGUAAAAUUUCUUUAUAAUUAAGUUACAAAUUUUCAAAUGAAACCAUUACCCAUGCAUGUUUGAUAUUUACCAAUAAUGUUCAUUCAAAAGAUACUAUUAGUAAAAAGAAAAACAUUGCAUAAACCAAAAGCUUUUAGAAGAGAAGUCCCCUUUAAGUUGUAACCCAGAUUGAUAAUAUCUAAUGAUUUAAAAAUCUUUGCUAUCUUAAUUUUAGGUCAGAAAGCUUGUCUUUUAGAGAUUCAAUUAGACAAUAUUACCAUAUUAAAGAUAGGUUAAUGCUAUUUGGAGCUUUAAGUAACACCAAUCAUAUUUGAAAAUUGAACCAAAAAAAAAAUAGACAUCUAUUAUGAUUCACAAUGAUGCUCCUCUUCUAUGUGCAACUAAAGAAUGUAAACUGACUAGUUUUUACUCUCCUUUAAGUCAAUCAACACACUACUUAUGCUGAUUCGGAUUCUCCAUCAGCAGAAUCUGAAGCUGAAUUCACGGGUAACUGGGAACGAUAUUGCUGUACCACCAAAACCGACGCUGUAAUCGGGAAGUUCAGUGAAGUCAGCAGGUUCCCAACUGGACCAAGCUCCGGACAGUCGUUUCUGUUUAAGGCAAAACUUGAAUUGAGACCCGGUGUUCGACCAACGAGAUACAGAUUGCAGUGUUUCAGCUCUUGUACUGUACUCAUUGCUUCUGCAGCAGUUUUUAUAGUUCUCUCUACAUAUGUGAUGGAAUCAUUCUUGCUUGCAUUGUGCCUGAACUCUGACAGAAAUUCAUCAUCCUGAGGAACUGUCUUCGCCAAAGAAUUCCCAACAGUAUCAGCACUGGUUAUCUCCCCAAUGGGCUCGGGUUCAACAAAGAAAUGAAUAACCAUCAACCUAAUACCAGGGUGCUCGGCCAUACGAACUCCAAAAGAAAGUGCUUCGCGAUCAUCUCCACCACCAAAGAACAGAACAGUGAUGAAAAGUGAAACAUUGCUUGACGAAACAUGGGUUGUACCACCUAACCCACGAUCAACAAAAAUUCCAACUGAACAUCGAGCAUGCUCAAGAACAUUCUGAUUAACAACACGGAUGCUGCUUCGAGUAGUCUCCAGUGAACCAUCCACCCUCUGGUGCUUGUGGAAUGGAAGAAUUAUGAUUGCAGUUCUUUUCCUCUCAGCGGUGGCGCAAAUGUCUUCAUGUAUAUCAGACAUGGAAGAAAUCGCCGUCAUUGGUCGGAUGAAUACUCUGCUCAGUUGUUGGUAAGCUUCAAAAGCGACAAUAACAUGGUUGGAAUCCGACCUCUGUCCCUUAUUCCAGAAAGGCAAACCAUUUUUCCUGGCCUUGUGUACCAUUAAAAUGGCUGAGGAUCUCUCGGACAGCUCCAUGAGAUGCAUUGCAUACACACAAAGUUCUUCUCCCUUCUCAGUUCCUCUCGAGGCCUCGAGCAGAUUUAUAAUCGACGGAACAUUUCCUGCACUAUGGAAACACGUCAACAUCCGAAGCUGUGUAUUUUUGUUUUUCCGUUCGAUUUUCCUAUGUUUGUAAUCUGCUAUUUUGGCACUCCUUGCCGGCUUGUAUACAGCAAUGACAAGGGGAGUGGUAAUAAAAGUAGUAAAAAGAGCCAUUAGAAUCAUUAUUGCAAAGGUCUGAUCAUUCAAAACCUGUAGAAUCAAACAAAGAAGCAAGUCAGAUUCCAAAACAAAAGAAAAACAACCAUAAAAAAGUCCUUGACAAGUGAAAGUAGAGGCUUAAGAUAACUUUACCUUUCUAUCUUUACCAAUAUUGAGAACAAUAAGCUCCACCAAACCUUUCGUGUUCAUUAGAAAUCCUAAUGCGAGAGCCUCACGAACAGGUACUUUACAAAGAAGGGACACCAGAAAAGUGCCAAGGAUUUUUCCGGAACAGGCAGUUACUAUAACUAAAACUAGAAGACCCCAUGAUUGUGCUCCUUGAAUUGUGGCUACAUUAGUCUUCAAUCCACUUGAUACGAAGUAAAGAGGCAGGAAUAGACUAGAAACAAGAUCCUCUAUUUUUUCUACCAAAGCACCUACUAAUGGUCCAUCCUUUGGAACUAAUACUCCAACAACAAAAGCUCCAAACAUAGCAUGUAUCCCAAUAAAAUCUGUGGCAAAUCCAGCAGCUAGGACGAUAGCUAAUGUGGCACAUAUGUAGAUUUCCCGUACAGGCUCCCCUUGAAAACAUUGUUUGGUCAUCCAUUUGAAAACAGGGGAUAAAAUGACAAUGGCAGCCACCACAAAGCCGCAGCCAGAUAAAAAGACCCAAACUGCAGUCAAGGGAGAUUUAUCAGAACCCGAUAACGCAAUAGCAAGAGCAAGGAGGAUCCAGGCAGCUACGUCAUUUACUGCUGCAGCAGACAUAGCCAUCCUGCCGACAUCAGUCGUCAGUAGUUUAAGCUCAGCAAGAAUACGAGCUAAGACGGGAAAGGCUGUUAUUGAAAGUGCAACACCCAUGAAUAUGAGAAACGCAGAAGCAUUUACACCUUUGGAUAUGGUUUCUCGGAGGACAAAUGAUGAUCCAAUUCCUAAUGCAAAGGGAACACAAAUUCCAGUUAUAGCGAUGCCAAAGGCCUUCUUUCCCGUACGACGUAUUGACUUUAGAUCUAACUCAAGACCCACAAGAAAGAGAAAGAAUAACAAUCCAAUGUUUGCUAUGGUAUCUAACAAUGUGAUACUAUUGGAUGGAAAUAUCGUAUGAAGAAAGUUCUUGUUACGUCCAAGAGCUGAUGGACCUAGAAGUAUUCCUCCCUGCCAAAUUGUAAUAAGAGUUAACUCAGAAGGGUGAUCACUCUUUCAAUUAAUACCAGCUUCAAUUUCAAUUCUAGAGUAAAAGGCAUUCCUCUAAGAAGAACUAACAGAUCAAUAUGCAAGCAUUAUUAUAGUUCAUGCAACAGUCUACUACACAGAGAUGUAAAAAUAUUCUAGACAACAGGCAAACAUCUCGAAACGAAGACCUUUUGACGUUGCUUUAACGGCCUCAGAAGAAGAACAAUGAGACUUACGAUAAUUUCUCCAAUCACUCGCGGCUGUUUUAAUGGCCUCAGAAGAAAAGCAAGCCCACGAGUAAGUGCGACUACCAAACAUAUCUGCAGAAUGAUAAGAGGGAGAGCGAAAUCAAGAGGAUUAUCGCCUUGGAAAAUGCCAUUUGACGUUGCUUUCAUAGGAGUCGGACAUAAGGUCACUGCCGUAGCGUUUGAAGCCAUUCCGUCACCCAAAAAAUUACAAAGAACAGGUUACUUUAAUCUCAGUUCCUAUUCAAAAAUAGGCUUCCUCUGCAAUGUAAAAGUCUUCUACAGUCAGAUUUGAUAAUCAUAAAACAAAGAGCCUAGAACUGUAAAGAAAAACAGACAAAGAAAGAAAGAAGGAAACCAAUCAAGCAAAGACAUUUUCAGUAUAUCCAAUGCUCAAACACGUAUAUAGACAUACAAAUAAGCCAAUAUAUUCGAUAGAACUGAAAUUCCCCAUCUGGGUUCAUAAGAAUUUAGCCGAUUAUAUUACUUGGAACUAAAGAAAACGUCAUUCACCAAACUUCGAUUUAAAUAAGAACCAAAGCAGAACCGCACAAAAUGAAUAAAUAAAGGAAAUAAAAGUUUGGUUUUAAUCAGGCCUUGCCACUGAAGGAAUAAUUAAAACUUCGUCUUUUUGAUGUGGGGUCAUCAGUUCCAGCACCAAAGACCCAAAAAAUUCUGAGAGCGAUACUGCGAUAGUAUGUUCAUAAAGCAGGUCAUACAGCAAAGGAAUCAAUGUUUUAAGUACAAGAAUAACAAAUCUUGUGUACACUAUUAGACAUCCAUUCUCAAACUCUACUAGUAUUAGACCUUAGUGACAAGGAGAGAUAUAAACACAACGAAAUCUUGAAGUGAAAUCGCAUACUCCAAAGAAACCCCCAUUAACGAAGAACCAAAUCAUCCAAAACGAAGUCAUAUGAAACAAAAAAGAACAACAUCAAAACAAAAACAUCAGGAAUCUCUAAAACAAACAAACCCCACAAAGAAUGUGUUGAUGAAAAGCAAAAUCUCCAAGGUGGAGCCAAAUUGAAAAGGUGGGAAUGGAAACAGAACACAAGAAACAGAGCAAAAAGUUAAAUACCCAGAAAGGUUUAUGAAUCAGAAUGAUGAAAAGUUGUGUGAAAUUUGAUUAAAGCGAAAUCCAUCAUGCAAUGAAAAGAAAAGGAAAGAAAAAUGGUGGAUUAGCUCUAGUACUGGGUGGGUUGAUUGGGGUAGUAGAACAGAACAGAGGAUUGAAGAAAAAAAAUGCAAUUACAGGUGAAGAAUUACAUUUGAUAUAUAAAUAAGAAUGGGAGUGGGACCUGAUCCUAAGAGGAAGAUGAAGAAGGAAGAAAAGAUCUCCAUUGUCGUUUGAGUUUUGGAGUAUGAACACUAAUUAUCGGCGCCGUUUGGGUACGGAGUCUUCCUUAAAUUAAUUACAAGUUUUUCAGGUUGUUUAAGUCUUUUAAUUAUGUUUAAUUUUGUGUUUAUCUCUAAAUUUUAAUAUUUUUAAUUAUUUAUUUUCAAACAAAGAAUUCUAAUUAGUUCCUCAAAUUAUAAUUUUAUGUUAAAAAUAACUAAUUAAUUGAUCUAGUAGUUAUGAUAUUGGAUGUAAAUGUAAAGUCAAAUUCUUUGAUAUUAGGCAUAAAAUAGAAAUUCAACACAAAUUUCAAGAACCUUUGGUGAAUUUUAUACUACUUAAUUUGUAUAAAUAUAAAAGUUUUAGAAAAAAUACAUAUGUCAAAUUAAGAGAAAAUAAAAGUUUAAUUUCAAGAACCAAACACUAAAAUAUAUUAUAAAUAUUAAAGAAUAUAAUAGAAGAGAAAUACAUAAAUGCACAUAUAUGUCUUAGUUCGGUAGACAUUUAGUGUCUAAAUAAAGCAACCUCGUUCAUGCAUGUAUCAAUUCAUCUAUAUAUUCUUAGUAGCUAAGCAAUCCACCUAUUUAUUACUUUUUUUUAUAAACAGAGGACUUUGAUAGAUUUAUAAUCAAAUCUAACUGAGUCUAGAAAUUUGAGAUUUUGAUUUUUUAAACUUUUUGUUUUUAUAUAUUAAUGGUUGUAUCUUGUAAUUUUUACAACCAAAUAAAGGUUUUUAUUUUUUAUUAGUUGAACUAGGAAAAUAAAGAUUCCAAGACUUUAACCUUAUGGUAAAUGACACACUUGAGAGGUACAAAUACUUUAUACCCUUCUAAAUUUAAUAUUUUUCAAAUAGCUUUCUAAAUAGUAAGUAUGAAGUUGACCUUCCUACCAAGUGGCUACUUUGCUUGUUAUUACAUAUUUAUUCAUAUUCAUGUGAAAUGAGUAAAGUAAACUAUUAGCUCAAACACACACACACACUAGCUAUAUACAAAUAACCCUCCCUCUCUAUACAUAUAGUUUUAAUUAAAUUUAAAAUCCCACCUUAGAUCAUGCAACCUAACCACCAAAAUAUAGAUAGAUCAACGUUUUAAAUAUUGAAAAGUAUUAGUAUAUCAAGGUCUAAGAUAUUGUUAUAAAUAAAAUUAAUUACAAAUGUUGAUGAAACAUCAUUAGUACUAUAUAUAUAAUAAGUUAAUUAAAGGGGAAGAGAAAAUAAAAGGUUGGCUUUUGAUUAUUUGUUAGUUUGGCAUCUAGGAAUAAAUAAAUGUUCCUUUCUAAUGUGUAAUCAUUUACACCAUCGAUUAUUUUGAGAUGGAGAGAAAAAAAAAAGAGAAAAGUGAUACGAUAGUUGAUACUUAUUCUUUUGAGUUUUAGUAAUAUAUAGAUUUAAGAUUGUAUCGUUCACUAUACGUAUAAUGUGAUUAGAAUCGAACAAAUAUAUACUAACUAGCUUUUAUUUAUAAAUAAAUUCUUUUUAUCUUGAAGAUUAAUUAUAUUAAUUUAAUAGACUUGAUUAUUAAUUUAGUGUUUUUUAGUAUUGAAUUAUUUUGGUGCAUUUAUAUGUUUUGUUUAGAAAAAAGAUCAUCAUGUAGGACGUAACAUGCUUGUUUUUUAUUUUAAAAGGUGCCAAAUUUUAAAAAUUAAAACGCUAAAUUACAAUUUAUUAAAAUAAAUAGACACCGUAUUAAUUCAAAGUUAACACAAGAGAAAGAAUAAAUUAUUUUAAAAAAUAAAAGUAAAAAACUAAGAACCAAACCGAUAAAAAUCCGAUAAUAAUAAAGUCAAUUCAUUGAUUUUGUUUUUUUACGUACGUUGAUUUGAAUUAUUUUGAGUAUAAAAUUGAUUGGUUUAAUGUGGUUUGGUUUUUGAUCGGCACUAAACCCAAUGAAAUCAAAUCGAGUAUAGCCUAUUCCAUGUGCAUCCCAUAGAAACUAAUUAAAAUUUAGAGUUUAAAUUUAUGAUUUUAAAACUUUGUGGCCACGUAAUCACACAUGACAACAUUUAUGAACUUUAUUUUUGUUUAUUUAAAUCUUUCGUUAAAAUAGUAUCAUCAACCUAUACUUAAAGUGAAAAUAUUAUACUAUUGUGAGGAGGUUUAAAAAGUAUGUUAUAUCUUGAAAAAUAUUUAUUUUGUUCAUUGUUAUAAUUAUAAAUAUUAAACAUGACUUAACAAUCGAGGCAUCCAAACAUAAAUAUUUUCAUCAAAUUUAAGUUUGAAUGUACUCUAGAAACUAAAUUUAAUAUCAAUUUUUUUUAAAAGAAAAUAUUAUUUUAGUAUCAUGCACUAAAAUUUGAAAGGUAGAAAUAGUUAAUUAAAUAUAAACCUAGUUUAAAGAUGAAAUGAUACAUACAUGAAUUAAACUUAUGUUCAUAGUUCAAUAAGGUUCUUAUAAGUUUUUCUAAUAACAAAAUUAUCAUAAAUUUGUGGUCGAAAAAUACUUUUCUUUUUCAUUUUUUUCAACAACUUUGUUAGUUUGAAAAAUUAAACUUGGGGUGAGGUAGAUGUAACAAUUAGGUAUAUUAUAAUGAAUAAAUGUAAAAAUAAAAAUAAAAGAAUAAUAUAUUAAUCUUGUAAGUUUGAUAUAAUCUCCUUCUUUCUAUGAUAAAUCUUUUAUCCAUCUACAACCCUACCUUAAUUAUAAGAAAAUCAAUUAUAAAUAUAACAUAAUAAAAAAGACUUGUUGGUGUAAUAUGUUUACUUUUCAGAGGAUGGUUCCUUUUAGUUAUUGAAUUCAUAAAUGAAUUAAUGGCCUAGUUAACAUAUAAAUAUAACUCAUCCAUGUUCGACGGAUCUAUAGGAUAUUCAUGAGAACCAACUAAAAAUUGAAUGUAAAACUUUAGUCAAAUAAACAUUAACAAUUAUCAAUAUCAAUAACACUGUCAACUUUUUUCUCACAUCGUCUGAAAGUUUUAUUGUUAUUAUCAUUGAAUGCCCUAAAAAUAGUUUAUCUGAGGGCUUGUAAUAAUGUCACUAAAUAAUUUAGAAAAUAGCAACUAUAAAUUAUUAUAUUCUAAAUUAGAUCUCCACAGUUUUGUUGAAACAAAAUUUAAUUUUUUUACACUUCCAUUGAUAAAACAAAGAACCAGAAAAAAAAUUAUGAUGAAUUUUAGGGACUCUUCAAUUCAUAGGUUCUGACGUUAUUUUCCUUAUUUUUGGUUAGUAUUUUCAAUACUGUUUUGGUAGAAAACAGAAGAAUACUUGUGGGAUAAAUGUUGUAUUUUAAUUAAAAUGGGGAAAAUAUUUGAAAGAAUUAAUUAAAAAAAGAAUCAUAAAAUAGUUCCCAAAAAGAUAUAUAUAUAUAUAUAUAUAUAAGUAAAAGUGAAGGCUGACUUAAUAGGAAGAUUUGGCAAUUUUGAUAUUUACUUGGGCUCACAUCUCAAGAUUGUGUGCCAAAAAAUAGGGACAAAGUUAUGUGUCUUAUUCAAUUAUUAAAACCCUAACUUAAUUUUCUAGUAUUAAGUAAAUUCAAAUUAUAAAGGAUAUUUUAUGAAAAUAAUACACUCUUAAAAACUCAUUACUCAAAUAACCUAAACAGAAAUUGUAUAAAAAAGAAAUGUGUGAAUAUGAAAAAUAUAAUAAGUAAUUAAUGAUCGAAUGGUUAUCAGAUAAUUAUUCAGUCAGUGAUAGAAAUUAUCAUUGAUAAAUUUUGCUAUAUUUGUAAUUUUUUUUAAACGUUGCUAUAUACUUAAUUAUUAUUCCUUAAAUUAUUAUCAAUUGAAAUUAUCCUAAUAAUAAUAAUAAAUAAUGGGUGAGUAUGGGAAUUGGGUGGGAUUUGGUCCACUCCACCGUAGCAUACUUCCACAAUUUCUACAUGCCAAUAACUAAACACAUGUCCUAAAUAUAUGCAACAAUAACGAGUAGUACAUGGAAAACAUACAUUAUACGUAUGAUGUACCCCUAUUGUACUUGCACCAGUUCAAAGAAUACGUACUUGAGUGCAAAAGCUUGAUAAAUUGAAAGAAAUUUUUCGUGUGGGACUAGUUAUGUUAGUCCAAUGAUGAUGAUGACAACAUUUAGAAUGGGAUAUAUGAUUCAGGAGUUAGUCAAUUAUCAGACUUCGAAACAAUAUAUUACAUUAUGGAGGCAUGUCCAUCAUCGUCAAACAUUUGGCAAUGAUAGUGUAAUUUAGAGAUCAAUCCAUCAUCUUAAUAAUGACCAUUUGAAUUACGAAGUGCUUGUAGUGGUACCUAAGCAACCAGAUGAACAACAACAACAAGAGAAUUAGGAGAGAUUAGAACAACAAAGAGUGUAGAGUUGACGGCUAAAACCAACUAUAAAUUGGCGACAUCCUGAUUGUGGAACAUAUUGAUUAAUAUUAUUUUCAUUAAAUGAAAAGUGUUAAAUCAUUGUAUUCGAUGUUCUACUUUAUAUUCAAUUUUUUCCAAUCUCAAUCAAUUACUAAAAAUUUACCGCCUUCAAUUAAUACUAAACGAAUGGAUUACAACGGUUAAAUAUUCAUAAAUUUAAAGAUUAAUGUAGACCUAAAUAAAAAUAUUUAAAAUAAAUGUUGAAAGAAAUUUGAUCAAUUUAAAAAUAAAACAACACACAUUUUUAAUAAGUUUAGAUAAUAAUAAAAUUAAACUAAUUUUUCCAAAAAAAAAUAGUUUUCGUGGGAGAGGAAAAUAAAUUAGUAUUAAAUUAAAAAAUUUAGUUUUAAUUUUAAGAAAGAAAAAUAAAAUUUAAAUAGAAUAAAUAAAUAAUUAAUUAAAAAAAAGUGGGCGAGAGAAAACAAAACCAUCAAUUUUCUAAACAGUUUUGAAAAUAUAUUAUUUUAAUAAAUAGUUUUUCAAUAUAUAAUAUGAAUAUAAUUUGUUCAAUUACAGAAGUCAUACAACAUUGGUUGGUUGACAUAAGGUCAAAAAAAUUAUGUUUGUGGUAAAAAAAGAGCUUUCACUCGACUAACAUAAAUGAUGAGAUAUGUGCAUAGUUCGACUUUAAUUGUUAUAUUAAAAAUAGUAUCGUGUACUUUUUAAAAAUUACUAAAAGAAUAUUUUUAUUAAUAAUAAACUUAGUGUAUCAGCUUUGUAACUUAUCAAUAAGAUGAUCAAAUUGUGAUACAAGAUUCUAACAAUAAACUUACUACAUUGGACUAAAUUUUUAUUUGCUCAUUCAAUUACUUUUACUACAUUUUCAAUAAUAUAAACUUUUGACAAAGGGACCAAAUAAAAAUAUAGUUGAAAAUUCUAAAAGAAAAAUGUAAUUAAAGGAAAAAACGAGAAACUUUAUAUUUAUAUUUAUUUUUGGAAGUUGAAACAGUGAACUCAAAUCUAAUGAAUAAGACUCCUAAUCUCAAAAUCUAUAAAAAUGACAUUAUUUAAUAAUGCAUAAUAAUCCCAAUUUGGAAACAUAAUCUUGGAAUUAAAUAGGUAUUACAUAAAAUCAUUUUUUUUAAAAAAAGUUUAGUCCUUCAACGUUCAUCUUCGGUAGAUUCCCCUUUUGAAGUGGAAGUGGACUCCAUUGGGAACACUGAUUGUUCACCGCGAAAUUGCUGCACCACCAGCACCGAUGCCAUCGUCGAAAAUUCCGGUAAUGCCAACACCCCGCCCACUGGUCCAAGCUCUGAACAAUCCCCACCGUUUGUAUUCAAACUCCUCACCACUUCCCCCUCCGGGCAUCUUCCUACCAAAAUCAAAUUCGAUUUAUUAAAUUCCUUCAUUGCAUCUACGGCCUGGCUCCCUUUGCUCACGUUUCUCUCCUCAUACGCAAUCGACGUUAACGCUUUAUUAUCACCGUCAGAAUCCUCCGAACUAUUAUUGUUUACGUCGACCGCGACGGAUUCCGUCACGAAAUCAGUGCUGGGUGUGAAUCGGACAACGUGCAGCCUAAUUCCGGGAUGUUCCGACAUUCUUUUUCCAAACGCCAGAGCUUCACGGUCGUCAGGCCCGCCGAAGAAAAAGACUGUGACUGUGGAAGAGACGUUACUUGCAUUGACGUGAGACCCACCACCUAGUCCUCUGUCGAUCAAAAUUGCGAUGGAGCAGGGGGCUUGUUCCAGAACUUUUCGGUUAACUGACCUGUAAUCAGUCCUCGUCGUUUCAAGAGAUCCAUCCAAUCUUUGAUGUUUGUGAAAUGGAAGGAUUAUAACGGCGGCCCUUUUCGUUUCGGCACUGCUACAGAUAUCUUCGUGCAUGUUGGACAGAGCAGAAAUGGCAGUCAUUGGCCGGAUUGAAACCCGGCUAAGUUGUCGAAAUGCCUCGAAGGCGACAACGAUCUGGUUCGAAUCAACCCUACCUUUGUUCCAAAAGGGGACGCCGUUUUUCCGUGCUUUGUGAACCAUAAGAAUGGCGGAUGAUCUCUCUGUUAGCUCUGUUAAAUGCAGAGCAUAAACACAUAGCCCAUCUUUUUUCUCAAUCCCUCGAGAAGCUUCAAUAAGGUUAAUCGUCGCCGGAAUGUUUCCGUAGGAAUGGAAGCAAGCAAGAAUUCGAAGCUCGGAAUUAGGAUUUUUCCUCUCUAUUGUUCUAUGCUGGUAAUUAGAUUUGGUAUGUUUUUUGGCCGGCUUGUAGACAGCAAUAACAAUCGGGGUUGUGAUGAAUGUUGUGAAGAUUGCCAUUAGAACCAUAAUUGCAAAUGUUUGAUCAUUCAAAACCUUCCUAUCUUUGCCGAUGUUUAAAACAAUUAAUUCCACCAAGCCUUUCGUGUUCAUUAAGAACCCCAAAGCAAGUGAUUCUGAAAAUGGCAUUUUGCAGAGCAGCGAAACAGAGACAGUUCCGACGAUUUUACCGAAACAAGCAUUGAAAAUGACUAAAACAAGAAGGCCCCAUGAUUUAGCUCCUUUAAUUGUUGCAACAUUUGUUUUCAAUCCACUGGAAACGAAGUACAAUGGAAGGAAAAGACCGGAGACAAGAUCCUCAACUUUCUCAACUAAAGCUCCGGCAAAUGGUCCUUCUUUCGGAAUUAAAACACCAACGACGAAAGCUCCAAAGAGGGCAUGGAUUCCGAUCAAAUCCGUCAUGAACCCAGCAGCCAAAACAAUGGAAAGGGUGGCACAAAUGUACAAUUCCUUCACCGGCUCACCCUCAGAACACCGUUCCGACAUCCACUGGAACACCGGUGGAAUUGCGAAGGUACAAAAAAUAAUAAAACCAGCUCCAGAGAGGAAAACCCAGAGGGAGACGAGAGGGGAGUUUCCGGUGCCAGAGAGUGCAAUUGCCAGCGCUAGAAGGAUCCAGGCUGCGACAUCGUUAACGGCAGCGGCGGACAUAGCCAUCCGACCGACAUCGGUUGUCAAAAGCUUGAGCUCCGCCAAAAUUCGAGCGAGAACAGGGAAGGCAGUGAUGGAAAGAGCGACACCCAUAAAGACGAGCAAUGCAGCUUCAUUGACUCCUUUGGAGAUGGUUGAUCGCAGAAUGAAGGAGGUACCGAUUCCAAGGACGAAGGGGAGAGUGAUCCCAGCAAAGGCAAUGCACAUGGCUCGUUUUCCGGUGCGGCGGAGGGAUUUAAGGUCUAACUCCAAGCCGACGAGAAAGAGGAAGAAGAGAAGACCCAAAUUGGCCAAUGUGUCUAAUACGGUGAGACUCCUCGGCGGGAAGAUUGUGUGUAAGUAAGCCAAGUUCCGGCCAAGUGCCGAUGGACCCAACAAGAUGCCGCCCUGCAAUACCCCGUUAACGCUACUUUUAAAUUAUAUAGAAACAGAUGUCCAUUCCAUAGUGAAAAGUUAUAAGAAAUAUGUCCAUUCUCCAAUUCAAAUAUUAAGCUCUAACAGUCACUUUUAUAAAAGAAAGAAAAAAAAGGAAACACCUCUGAUAAUCACUUUAACACAAAUUCAAUAAUACAUUCUCAAUCACAACAUAAACUUAUGGUUCAUUUUGGUAUUUAAACUGUAAAAGGAUAGACAUAAUAGAGUCAUGCAUAGGGACCAAAGUAAUAAAAUUCACUUUCUUCUACCUUGGUUUUACCACUGUACAUAACAUUAACUCACUAGAGUAUAGAAAAUCAUUAAAUAGUGAAACAAGCCCCCCAAAAAACUCAUAAAUAUAUAAUAUAUAAAAAAAAACGAAAACAUAACUUAAUAUUAUUAAUUAUGAUUAUAAAAGAUAAGAAUAAAAAGAAAGAGAGAAAGAACAUACGACGAUCUCAGCAAUAACACGAGGUUGGCGGAUGGGACGAAGGAGGAAAGAGAGAAGGCGAGUGAGAAGGACGACGAGACAAAUCUGAAGGAUGGCAAGAGGAAGAGCAUAAUUAAGAGGAUUAUCGCCUUGAAAAAUGCCAUCGGAGGUGGCUUUCAUAGCCGGAGGACAAACACCAGCAGGCGCCGUCGCAUUAUGGGUGGUCACCGUGGCCAUUAUGAAAAUUAGAUUAGUAGUAAUUAAGUUAAUUAAACAAUGAAGGUGAUGUAUUUAUGUAGAAACGUAGUUCCAAUUUUAUAGGCUUCUACUUCUCUGUGAAGAAGUUUUUUCGGUAAGUUUAUGCCAUUUUAAUGGUCAAUAUUUUGCCUUUUAAAAACAUGGUCAAUUCCUUGUUUGUUCAAAAUCAAUUUGUUUUUUCUUUUCUUUUCUCUCUCUCUCUCUCUUUUUUCCCUCUCAAAAUAACACCUCAUUUCUUUUCCUUUUUCCCUUUUUUAUUUAUUAUUAUUUUGUAUUUUUCCACCCACCACAACAACUUAUAUUCAUUACUUACUUAUCCCUCUUUACUUUUUUUCUUUAUAAAAAAAUUAAUUCAUCCUUAUCUAAUAUUAUUUUAAAUCUUAACUUAAUUACCUUUCUUUCUAAAUGGGUUUAGUUCAUUCAUUAUUAAACACGUUCUUUUAGAAUUUAUAAAUUUGUAAAUUUAGUUUACAUACAAGUUAUAGUUAACAACUUUAGUUGUCGUAACAAUCUUAACCCUCGAACGUUUAAUAUCAAUCACUAUAAACAUAAUUUAGUUCCAUUCUACUCGAUACCAUCAAGAAGAGGGAAAAAAAAUUAAACAGAUGUGGUGAAGUGAGGGGAGAGAAUGAUGGUAGAGGGAGGAGAAAUUAUUAUUAUUAGUUUAUAUGUUUUAAAAGUUAACAAUAUAUAAAAUAAAAUUAAUAUAGCAAAUUAGAAUAGAGUUAUUGGAUUACUUAAUUAAUAGAGAGGAUUUAAACUUUAAGUAAGAUAAAUAAAUAAAUGAAAUCCGUUCAAAUCCUUUUUUUUUUUUUUGGAUGUUAUCAAUUACUAAACAGUUUUUUUUUUUUUUUUUGAAAAUUUAAUUUAAAGAACUAUGCAUGUAUUCACUCUUUGGAAAAAUUGCAAAUUCUUGAAUAAUAAACAAUUUUUUAAAAAGGGUUUUGUUUUUUAAAACAAUAAUACCAAUGGAAGAAGUUUCUAUAACUUAGAGGCUUAAUUUUUCAAAUUUGUAAGAAAAAGAAAAUCAACCAUAGGAUUAUCAUACUAAACAUUACUAUUUACUUAUUUAGUAUAUAAUUUGUAUGAGAUUGUGUGUUUUACUUUACUUAAGUUGAUAAAUUUUAAGAAGUUUUUGAUUCCAUACGUGAACACACACUCAACUAUCUAAUUUUAGUCGGACUCAAUUAUUGAUAAUGUUAUUUAAAUAUUGAGAUAUCAUCUUAAUUAAACAAAAAGAAAAAAAAAAUCAAAGAGUAACAUUUGGCAUAUAAGAACGAAUCAUACACGGUAAAAGGUGACAUGUACUUUUUAUACCUUUUCUUUUGCAAAAGGAAGUUAUAAAAGUUACUAUUAUUUGAAAUGGGAAUUUUGACUAUAAAUCAAAUGGAAGAAAGAUGAAAUAAGUAGAUAUACGUGUGAAAGAGAUCACAAAAUCAACCAAACUCAUACUUUACUUUCUAAAAUACCUAGUUAUCGGUUACAUUAUUGUAUGAUAUAUAGGAUAAACCUAAUGUUAAGAUGCGAAUAACUCUAACUUAUUAGAUAAACAUUCGUUAAUUUAUAUUUUAAAAACAGAUAACUUGAUUCCUCAAAUCACCGUUGUUGAAUUAUAUAAAAGAAAAAAGAAAUAAAGAGAUAUUCCAAUUAAAGUCUAUCAAAUCAAUCGGUUUUGUGAGAAAAAGUAACUCCAACGUGGUUAAGUUUGUUUAAUAGAAAUUAAAUAUUCAAACAGACCAUGGUUUGAUAGGUAUAUUUUACUUAUCCAUGCCUGGUAGAUUAUUAGUCAAAUUAAUUGAAAAUAUUAAUCUUGAUAGACAAAAAGAGAGGAUGAGAACAGAGAUAAUUUUAAGGGAUAUGUACAAACUUAAUAAUUAAAUUUAAAAUAAUUAAUUAUAACAAUAUUUAAAAAAAAUUACAAAUAUAAUAAAAUAUGUCAAAAUCUAAGUCUUAGAUUAUAUUGUAAAUAUUUAAUUAUUAGUAAGAGUCUAUCAAACUCUAUCAUCAAUAAAUUUUGUUAUAUUUGAAAUUUUUUAAAAUAUUAUUAUAUAUUUAAUUAUUAAUACCUAUUAUAAUUACACUAAUCUUAAAUCUUAUUUAUUUCUAAUUCAAAAUUGUGAUGUACUUGUUUAAUAUAAUUAGAAGAAGAAUUUGAUGAACUUUCUCAACUUUUUUUUUUUCGUUUUUAACUAAUUACGUUUAAGAUACUCAAAACAUACGUAUUUUUUAGAAAAGUAUUUAACGAAUACAAACUUAGCUCAACCGUACUUACAAACUAAAAAGAGAAUCGUUUAAUUUUUAUUAAAAAUAAUUAAUUUCUAUUGGAAAUAAAAGGUAUGACUGGUGAUUUUGAGUUUAGAAGAGUUCUUAUGAGUAUUUUUGGAACUUUUCUUUUCUAUUUUUCUAAUUAUUCUUUUCUUCAAAAUCACUCGAUGAAAUCCAUAUAGUCUAAAGAAUAGCUGUUAGAGUUUUUUUUUUAUUCUAUUGCAACAAAAUAUUCAUCAAAAUAAUCUCGCAAUUAAAAGGGAAAGAAAACCUUUUCUUUUGUUUAGAUACGAAUUUAGUCUCUAUACUUUAAAUUUUGUUUAAUUUUAAUUAUUUCAUUUUCAAUCAUUAGAUUUUAGCCUAUAUACAAUAAAUUGGUCUAAUAACAAUAAUUUUUUCAUGCAACCAAAUCAAAUAUGUGGAUAUGGGUUUUUUUCUUAAGAUGUUAAUAUUGACAUAAUGUUUUUAAUUAAAGAACUACAAUAAAUUAGAAGUGAGGAAGUAAAUUUAAGAUUCAUUAGAACUAUAGAGACACUAUAAUCAAAAUUGAACAAAUCUUAAGUAAAGAGACUAUAACGAUAGAAAAUUUAUCUGAUAAACUGACUUGAAGCCAAUAUUGUAGACAACAAAAGCUAGAAGAGAAUAAUAAACCAUCCAUCAUCUUCCCAUACAAAGUUGACCCUGCAAUAAUGCAAGAACAUUUUGCCAAAGCUUUAUUAUCUUUUUCUUAUCUACGUUUUUGUUAAAUUUCAGUCAUCGUAUUGACAAAGAUUCCACCGACCAAGUGUUGAAAAUGUAGUUAAACCCUCCGAUAAAAAUACUCGAACAAAAGUGAAGAAGAUUGUUCUCUUUACUCCUCAAUUUAGAAUAUAAUUGAGAACUUGAAUAAUAUUUUUUAUAAAUUUAUUUUUCUUACAUUCAAACGAGAAAACCCUACACAUAUUCAAACCGGUAGGAAAGUAUAUCAAAAGACAUCAAUAAUAAAUUCCAAUACAUGUGACUCUUCAAAGUAAUUAGUAAUUAACUAUUUUCUUGUAUCUCGACUAUACAUGCAUAUGCAAUAAUGCAAAUAUGUAUUAAGUUUAGAUUAAUUUAGUUUCAACACUAAGUUUUCAUCCAAUAAAAUUGGUGGUUCGAAAAGUGUUAUUAGAAGAGGUUUAGGGUAUCAAUGAUGCAUCAAAACGUCAUAAACAUCCUAUUAGGCAAUUAGUAAAAGAUGAUGUUAUUUCUCUAAAAGAAAGAAAAUUUGUGUGUACUAUUUCUCGCCAUUUUACCAUCUUUGUUUGAUUUAGUUCCCAAAAAAUAAUAUAUGCCAUAUAUAUAUAUAACAUGUCAAAACAUUAAUUACUCGAGUAAAUUAUUUUUACUAGAAUUCAUUUAUCUAUUUUAUGGGAUUAUGUUUAGGCCAUUUAUAAGUUUGAUAAAGUAUCGUUCAUUCCAUCCUUGAACUUAUACCAAUAAUUUAAAUUUAGAUCAUAUUAUUUGAAGAUUGAGAUGAUACAUUUAGUUAAAUUAGUGGGUGAUACAUUUUUUGUGGUACAAUUAGUCGGUGACACUUUGACUUGAAAACAACCGUAGGAAAGGAAAGAAAGAUGCAAAAGGGUUUAUAUAUUCUUUAUUAUCUUUUAAGAAAAAGAAGGUUUAAAUUUAUCUACAAAUUUGACCAUAUACCAAUGGGAGAAAAAAAUUGUUUGUGACACUUGUUAGGUGUCAUUGAAUCUCAAUUUUAUGGUAUAGAAAAUUUUGAAACAAAAAACCAAAAAAGGAACGUCUCAUAAUCAAUAACAUCGUUGAGAUUAAAUUAACUAGAAGAAAAGCUAAACAGUAAUAAUUGUUUUAAAGCUAACGUUUUAUGUUAACGAUAAUUUACAUAACCUUCAUUCUUAUGGUAGAAGACUCAAUCGUCCAACUCAUAGUUGUUGUGAAAAAUAUCAUAUCGAAAAGAAAAGAAAAAAAAUUAUAAAAAUAAAAAACUCUAAAUAAAUUUAGUUAUUCUUACUUUUGAUGGAUGAUUUUUAUUUAUAUUUAGAAUAUAAAUGCAAAUUUAUUGGAAAUACUUUCUUUUAUCAAGAGAAUAUGCACCUUUGAUUUUUUUUUGAUAAUUCUCUAAAUUAAAAAAAAUUAAAAUACUCAACUAUUAGUUUGGGAUAGAAACGGUUUGUACUUUAAUUAAAAGACAAUAAUAUGAACUUUCACAAGGUCAAUAAUACUUUCUAACUUUGGAUGAUGAAAGAUUAAAAAAAUAGGGUGUUUGUAAAAAUAACAAAAAAAUUUAUGAUAAUACGGUUCAUGUCGCUUCAUUUUCUAAAUUGCAAAAAUAUCAAAUUUAAAAGGGAUAAUCAUUUGAUAUAUAUUUAAUUAAUUAUCAUAUUUGUAAUCGUAAAAAAUAGGUGUUAUGGACCAUUUUUUCCUAAAUUCUUUUUAUCAUAUGAUGCAAUUUUCCAAUUUUUUAUUUUAAUAUAGUUAGUAUAUGGACUAACAUAAUUAGUACCUUGAUCCAAAAGGUUAUUACAUCAGUACUCUAAGUUUAUGGGAAAAAAAGUUUUAAAAUGUUUUAAAUGAUAUAGAAGAAUAAUUUUAUGUUUUUAAAAUGUUUUUAAGGUGUAUAGUUGUUAGAACAAUUUUUUAAAGUUAAACGUAAAGUUCCAAAUUAAAUUAAAUCAUAAAAUCCUACGAAAUCCCGCAAAGCCGAUCAAUAAAAAUGAUGAAAAGGGGUAAAUAAUAAUAAUUAGGAGAAGAAGAGCACCUCGAUUUUUGUGAGGCUAAAUUUUAAAAUGAAACGACAAUAGCCAUAAUGUACACUUUACCAUUAAAAAAAAGACUCAAAUACAACAUUAUAAUGUACUUAUUGAUCAACACCAUGAGAUGCACAAUGAUAAAUGCAUCUUAAAAUGUACAUGAGCUUUACUCCACAUCUUUUUUAAGAGAAAAAUACAUAGGUACACUCGAAACUAUACCUAUAUUUGUACACAUCUCAUUCAAUUUUUUUUUAUCAUGGUUUUCCACGUGUUAUAGAGUGAAUGAAAAUAGUAGGUUUUAGGGAUUUAAACAUUUUUUAAAAAACAUUUAGAAAGUCAAUCCAAACAACUCAUUACUCAGUAACUUCUUCGGGUAAUACUGUUGCUGUAGAGGUGGACGAAGAAGGCAACAAUGGACCUCGAAAUUGUUGUACCACCAACACUGAAGCUGAUGUUGAGAUCUCUGUUGAUGUCAACAAGUUGCCGAUAGGACCCAACUCCGGGCAAUCGCCACCUUUGAAAUGAAGACUCUCUAUUACUUGACCUUCAGGGGCUCGACCCACCAAUAUCAAAUUACACCUACUAAAUUCUCUUAUUACUUCAAUUGUGUCAUUGUAUUUGGUCACUGUUCUCUCCUCAUAUCUAAUUGACUCGUCAUCUAUUUUCUUCACAUUGAACUCCAUCAACACUUUUUGAUCCAUGAGUGUUGAAGUAUUAGUAUCAUCUUUGGAAUGCAUGUCGAUUACGGUUGAUUCUGUAGCCAUGUCAGAGCUAGGAAGAAUAUGUACGAUGUUGAGGGUUAUUCCUGGAUGCUCUACCAUUCUUCGACCAUAGGCUAAGGCUUCACGAUCGUCACGACCUCCGAAGAAGAAGACGGUUAUUGUGGAAGAGACAUUGCUAGCACAUAUGUGGGAGCCACCUCCAAGACCUCGAUCGACUAAGAUCCCGACGGAGCAUGGUGGUUGUUCGAGAACCUUUUGAUUAACCCAUCGAAAAUCAGUCCGUGUUGUCUCCAAAGAUCCAUCAAACCUGCCCAUUUGUUACUAAUGGUGUCAAACAACCUCUGUGAAAAUGGUGCUUCAUUCAAAAUGAAGUGGAAGUAAACUAUUAUAUUGGGAACUUUUUUCACUUUUUUCAUCCAACUUAAUAUGAAAAAUAUUCAAGUGAUGGUUGAAUCACAUGCAUUUAUCAACUUUAUUUAUACCACUCACCUAAUUAACUAACUAAAACAAAUUAGAAGAAAAUUCAUAUUUUUAAGAAAAUAAAUUUAUUAAAGUUUUUUUUUAAAAAAAAAAAUUAACCUCAAAAUUGAUAAAAUAAAAACAAAAUAUAAAUGAAGAGAAAAAAGAAAAGUAAAGAAACCUUUGGUGUUUAUGGAAUGGAAGGAUGAUAAUGGCGGCCCGUUUUCUCUCAGCACUGUUACAAACAUCUUCAUGCAUAUCUGAAAACGGAGAAAUGGCCGUCAUCGGACGUAUUGACACUCGACUAAGCUGCUGAAAUGCCUCAAACGCUACAAUAAUUUGAUCUGAAUCCGAUUUCCCUCCUUUAUUCCAAAACGGCAAUCCAUUCUUUCUUGCUCUGUUCACCAUUACAAUCGCCGACGACCUCUCCGUCAGCUCCAUCAAAUGCAUUGCAUACACACAAAGCCGCCGCCCACGACCUUCUUUUCCACGACUCACCUCAAUCAAAUUCAAAAUCGAUGGAAUGUUGUUAACAGAGUGAAAACAAGCCAAAACCCUCAGCUCUGAAUUGGGUUCAUCUCGCUCGAUUGUUCUGUUUAUGUAUUCCGAUUUGCUCUUUCUUUUUGCUGGUUUAUAAACCGCCAUUACAAUUGGGGUUGUGAUGAAUGUUGUGAUUAUAGCCAUUAGAACUAAGAUUGCGAAUGUUUGAUCAUUCAAAACUUUUCUGUCUUUGCCGAUGUUUAAAACGAUUAAUUCCACUAACCCUUUUGUGUUCAUUAAGAAUCCUAAAGCAACUGAUUCUUGAAAUGGCAUCUUGAAACAGAGUGCUACAGAGAUUGUUCCGAUGAUUUUCCCAAAACAAGCGGUGAAUACUACCAGAACGAGGAGACCCCAUGAUUGUGCUCCCUUGAUUGUUGCGAUGUUAGUUUUUAAUCCGCUUGAUACGAAAUAGAGAGGGAGGAAUAAACCCGAUACAAGAUCUUCGACUUUCUCGACGAGAGCUCCGGCGAGUGGGCCAUCCUUUGGCACGAGGACGCCGACGACAAAAGCACCGAAUAGAGCGUGGAUUCCGAUUAAGUCGGUGACGAAUCCAGCGGCUAAGACGGUGGAUAAAAUAGCGCAAAUGUAGAGUUCGCUGACGGGUUCGCCAUCGGAGCAACGGCGGGAGAUCCAUUGAAAGACUGGGGGGAGAGCGAAGAAGCAAAACAGAACAAAACCAGCGCCGCAGAGGAAAACCCAGAGGGAAACGAGAGGGGAACGGCCAGUGCCGGAGAGGGCGAUGGCGAGGGCGAGGAGGAUCCAAGCAGCUAUGUCGUUGACGGCGGCGGCGGACAUGGCCAUGCGGCCGACGUUGGUGGUUAAGAGCUUGAGUUCGGCGAGAAUGCGAGCAAGAACAGGGAAAGCGGUAAUGGAGAGAGCAACGCCCAUGAAAACAAGAAAAGGAGGGCCACUGACGCCUUUGGAGAUGGUGGAACGGAGGACAUAAGAGGUUCCGAUGCCGAGGACGAAAGGGAGGGUGAUCCCUGCGACGGCUAUGGCCAUUGCACCUUUUCCGGUACGGCGGAGGGAUUUGAGAUCUAACUCUAAACCCACUAAAAAUAGGAAGAAAAGAAGACCCAAAUUCGCCAACGUGUCCAAAACCGAUAGGCUUCUCGCCGGAAAAACUGUGUGAAGAAAUUCUUGGCUCCGACCCAAUGCCGACGGUCCCAGCAAUAUUCCUCCCUGGUAAACCAUAAAAAGAAGAAACAAAUUCAUACAAAAUAAUAAGUAACAAAAAUAUUUGCUCUAAUUAUCUACAUAAUUUGUCAUCUAAAACUCUUCUUCUUCUUCAUCUUUUUUCACUCUCUCUCUCUCUCUGUUUUUCUUCCAUAUAAUUAUUAUUUUUUCAACCAUGAUUUGGUUGAUAUACGAUAACCCAAACAAUCCCACUACCCAACUGAUAUUAUAAGAAUGGGUUCGCUCAACUCAAUCCAAAUUAAUAAUACAUGUAUUUAUAUUUUAUUAUUAAUUGAAGAAUAUGGAGUAAAAUAAAAUGUAUACUUAUGCUUAACAACUGAACAACUCAGCCAACUCGAAAAUAUAGAUUGAAUUGGACAUGUCUCUCAACUCAAUUCAACCCGUUUACACUCAUAGAUACACAUUUAUUUAAGUUUUUUCCUUUUUAGAUUAAGAUGCAGAAAAUAUACACAUAACUAUUUUAUUACUUUAAGAAUUUUUUUUAUUAUGUAUUGGAAAAGAUAAAUGCAUGGAUUGGAUUAGGUGCAUGAGAAAUCCUAAUCUUAUGUUCCCAUUUUUUUACAUAAAAGAAAAGAAUCAAUACAACAAAAUGAUUGGAUGCUUGUGAGAUUGCACAGAACAUAGGUGCAUCAAAAUUUCCCCCUAGGAAUAACAACAAUAACAUGACUAAUAUUUUGUAGUUUUUGCUUAGACUUUUGAGUAAUGUAAUUUAUAAAUUGAGGGGUUCAUUAUCAAUAUCAAUAUAUCGACUCUAAUAGAUAUUAAAAGAUAAAAUUAAAACAAAGAUAUAUACAAUAAAUAUUUUAAUUCUCAAUCAUAUAACACCAUAUUGAUUUGACUAUGAAGUAGGGAGCUGAAAUAAAAAUGGUCACACACCCACAGACAAGUAUUAUAUUCCACCUAGGAUUGAUUCAUUCAUUUAUCUACACCCAAUGGAUUAGAAAAUAGAUCAAUGAAAUAUAUAAUAUUAACAUAAGUAAAUAAAAUAAUAAAUUCAACCAUAUGAUAAUAGAUAAAUAUAAUAUAACUGUCUAAACAUUAAUAAUUAAAUUAGUAGAUAGAUACGGUUUUAACUAAAAAGAUGAAUCUAUACUAAAUAUGUGGCUACAUCCAUCGUAACUUUAUUUUUCCUUAAAUUUUGUUCGAUGUGUGUAUAUAUAUAUUUUUAAUACGAUGACAUGUUCUAUUCCAUAUCAAUUAAAUCAUAGUCGUAAUCGUAAAAUAUAUUCGUGAGAUUAAGUUUGAAUAGUGACAUCUAAGAUUAAAAAAUUGAAGGAAGCGAAUCAAAACAUAUGGUUUUGGAACCUUUUAGAAUAAAUUGAUUGUGCAGUCUUUAAAGAAGUAUUUAAAAAAUUAUAUGAAACUCAGAGUGUAUAAUUUUAUCUAACAUGUUAAAUAACAUCAAAUGAAGUCUAUUAGUCAUUCUUUUGUUGGUAUAGAGAUGGUAGGUGUAAAAGAAAUUAAAAGCAUGCAGAGUUGAAUUGAUAUAAUUAUACGAGAAGUUUCUGUAACUGAGAGAACAAAAUACUUACGACAAUCUCAGCAAUGACUCGAGGUUGUCUGAGGGGACGGAAGGCGAAACCAAGAAGACGAGUAAGAAUAACAACCAAACAUAUCUGAAGAAUGGCUAAAGGAAGAGCGAAAUCAAGUGGAUUGUCGCCUUGAAAGACACCGUUGGACGUUGCUUUCAUCACUGCCGGACAGCCACCCGGCGCCGUCGUAUUCCCCGCCAUUUCUGAUCAACCAACCAACCAUUAAAUUUCAUUUCUCAAAAAGUUAGUAAAAAAAGUAAUAAUAAAUCAACACGAAUAUUAGGAGACUCCUUGUUGUUGGAGAGAAAAAUAUAUAUUAUUUUUUUCCAAAUGCUGUGGAACUUUAUUAAAUAUAUAUAAAAUAUCGAUCACUCAAUUCAUUUUCUCAAUUAUUAAAUACAUAGAAAUGAAGAAAAGGUAAUAAUAAACGACAUUUAUGCCAUUAAUUUGAAUAAAUUGUAAUUUUUUUUGUUUACAUAGGCUAAAUAAUAAAAGGUUUAUGUAGAUGAUUUCAUAAAUAAUAAAUAAUAAAAAUAACUUUGUACUUAUUUAUAUAUUAGUCAACAAAAUAUAUAUUUAAAACCAAUGAAAUAAAGUGUCUGAAUAGGAAAUAAUCAUCACCUGAAUUUUGGUGGACAGAAGUUUUUGAUUUGAAAAUGAUGAGAUAUCAAUAUGUUUGUAGAUCUCCAAAAGCAAAGUUUGAUGAAGAUCAAGAAAAAAAAAACUAAGAGGAAGAAGAAAUGGGAUGAAGAAUUUUGGGACUAUCACAUCCCCUUUUUAUAUCUAAACAAUACCUUCAUGUGCAUGCUUUAUUGUUGGAUUUAGGGUUCUUUUGGUAAUUUGGAAAAUACUAUUAUUUUUCUUUUAUAUUGAUAGCUACUUCUUCUUAUAAAUAUUUUUUUGGCACAUCUUAUCCAAUAUCCAUCUCAAUUAUGGAACUUAUACUAUAAUAUAAAUAAAAUAACUUAUACUAUAAUAUAAAUAAAAUAACUCACUCUCUUAAUUAUAUUCGAAUUCGAUACUUGAUGAUUCUGACAAUUCUCGUGCAUCUCUUUGCAACUUGACAAUAUACUGUCAUAUUAUUUGUAUUGAAUUGCUUUUAAAACUAUAGAUUAUUAUAUCUUUACAAACCAAUGUGAAUUGCUUUAAGUUAAAUACACUUUUAAAGUUUCUACGAUUAAGUCAGAUAGUACACCUAGCUUGUAUUAAAGUAGCAAGUAUUUCUUAUCCAAAUUUUCAUACCAAUCUUCUUAAUCAUUUUCAUAUCAGUUUAUCCAUCUAUUUUUUUUUACUAUAAACUAAUUUGUAUAUGAAUUUUACUGAGGUUAGAUAUACGUAAGUGUGCUAUUUUUGUUUUAAAUUUAAUUUUUUAAAUGUUUGAUUUUGAAAAUAAACCAUUUUACGAAAAAAUUAAAUUGUUUGACAACAUUCAAAAUACCUUUUUAUAAGACUUUCAAACUUUAUUUUAAAUAGUUUUUAUACAUAAAUUUAAAAAAUAUUCUUUUCCAUCCAUUCAAAUUUCAAACAAACACAUAUUUUUUUAUAAAUAAAAUUCCAAUAAUUAUAGAAACUUAUUUAUAGAAAUUAUCUGAUUAAUUGUUCCUAAAAAAACAAAAAUAUUAAUUAUAUGCCAAUAAAUAUGAGCUAAUUCAUAUUUUUAUUCAGACUCAAAUCUCUCGCUAAUAUUUACUUAUAAACACAACAAUGAAAAAAAAAAAUGCAAUUAUUUUUUCUUGAAAAACAAAAAGUUAUUCUAACACAAAAUUCUAACAUAACAUAAAAAAAAAGUUUAUUUAAUUAGGUAGAUGUAGAUUGAAAAUUUGCAUUCUUAAAUAUUAAUUAUGGUAUAUAUACCAUUGAAGUUAUUAUUAUUAUUAUUUUCAGGUUCUCUUCCAUAUAUAUCUAACACGUACCACAAAACUGCUAAAUGUAUAGCCGCAAUUUCAAAAAUCAAGAUUCCUUUAAAGUAAUUAAAAGAAAUAUUCAUCAUAAAUAAAAGAGAAAUCGUUUUUUAUUUUAAUUAGAAACUCAUCAACACUCUUAAUAAAUUUUAUCCUGUAUAAAUAAUAUAAACAGCAAAUAAUUAGCUAAAGAAUCAAACUAUAGAUUUUUUUGAGAUAGCAUUAUAUGUCAUAUGAUUGAUCAGAAUAUUCCAAUUUUUGAGUGGCUGGAUUUAAUUUGAUGGAGAUGAAUACUGAUGAAAAGAUUUUAAAAAAACGUCAAUUCAUUUUUUAAUUUUGAAAAAUAAAAAGUGGGAUUCCUUGGCACGACUUUUUCAAAAGUUGAAAUUUUUUAUGGCUUUUAUUGCAUAUUUAAAAAAUAAUUAAAUUUUACAUUCAUUUGCCUAAAAAAUUAGCACACUAAUUUUAAAAUCAAGUGAAUGAUGGGUGUGCACGUUAUAUAUGAAUAAGCUAUUAAAGAAAUUUUGACUAAAUCAAAAUUAAAAAAAGUUAAUAAUUUUUAUUAUAGUCAACUAAAUUCGCUAAUGAAUUGCAUCAAUUUGCCAAAGGUUGGGAUGUUCAACAAGUUAUUAUAAUAACCUUUUUUUUCAAAGAAAAUAAAGUUUUUGAAGACAAAAAAUGUACAACUGUUGUAAUUAAUUUCUUAGAUAAUAUAUUUUUAAAUUUUGUUUGGAUAUAAUACUUUUUUUAUUAUUAUUAUUUAUGCUCAAUUUUGGUCUCUCUUUAAUCCAACCUGUGAUUUGGAGUAAAGCAAUAAAGAUUAUUAUUAUUAGAAAAAAAAUUCUCUGCUCUUAUGCUUCUUCCUCUUUGAGUGGUUAAGACAUGCUUUGGACCCAACAAUGGACAAAAUUUAAAAUUCCUCUUUUCUUGAAAUAAAUUUAAAAGAAAGAGAAUUAAUAAUCACUUCAUGUCUUCUUUUUUUCAAUAUAACAAUUCCACAUAUACUAUCAUAUUAAAUAUAUAUAUAUAUAUAUGUGUGUAUUUAUAAAUAAUUUUCGUGAAUUUAUCAUUCAAAACAAAUUUUCAUAUAAUAAUAUAAGAGACAUUUACACAUUUUUUAUAAUAUUUUUUAAAAGAAUACAUUUGAUAAAGUAGUUUUUUUUUUUCCUUCUAAAAACUAUAAGGAGAUUAGUUUUUGAUCCAUUAUACAAAAUAAGGGUUACAAUUUUAUUUUCAAAUGUAGAGAAUACUUGCUUUUUUUUUUUUCUAUAUUUAAAAACAAAAAUAUAGAAAAUAGUCCCCAAACAUUAGCUCUUUAUUUUUCAAAAAAGAAUAAAAUAAAAAAUUGAAACCCUAAGCUCUGACUAUUUGUACUUUUUUUAUUCCAAUUUGUUUGAUAUGAUUUGUUGAGAAAAAAGGAUUUUAAAAAAAAAAGAAUAAUAGAAAGAAAUAAAUCUAACCAUAUUUCAAAUUUCAAAAAAAAAAAUUAAAAAUCUAAUUUUAUUUUAUUGAUUAUUACUUUUUUUUCUUUCUGGAUUUUGAAAACUUUUCCUAAUGAAAAAUAGUUAUCGAACUUAUCUUACAACUUAUUUUUUGUACCUAGAAAAUUGUUAAUGAAUUUUCUAUGCUUGACCUAACAUGUACGGCAUUUAUAAUAGUUUUGUGAUUUUUUUUCUUUUUUUGUCUAUGUUAAUGAAGUUUUCAUUAUCAUUAAAUUUUCUACUUUGGAAAAUAAUGUUUGUUAUAUAUAUAUAUAUAUAUAUAUAUAAACAUUAUCUCUAAUCUCUAUGUGUUGUUUAGUCUAAACCUAACCAAUGGAUCAGUUUCAAUGUUUUGGAUUGACUUUCACAUUUAAACCAUUUGACAAACCAAAGGUGUUUAAAUAAUUCAUUGUUGUUUCUAUAUAUAUAAUCUUCUAGGUAUCAUCAAUUGGUUUAAUAAUUUUAGUUAUAUAGUUUUAAUAUAAAUUGUAAGGUGGGGGAUACGGUGGUUGGAUGGGAGAAAAAACAAGGAUGAGGAAAGUGAUAUGAACAGAGAAAAAGAGGCCAAAGUUAGAUUAGAAAGAAAUGAUGGAGCUGAUUAUAAUUAAAGUAACAUUUUUGUUUUCUAAUUUUUUAUUUUCAUUUGAUAGUAGAUCGCAAAAUUAACCAUAAUGUUUACAAAAUAUAAUUUCACAAUCUAUAAGCCUUAGACUUAUUUUGAAUAAAGUAUUAUAUUCUAUUAGGUCACCCUUUCAUUCACCAUUGAAAGGAACCCUAGAGGCAUCCCAAGGGUAAAGGAAAUAAUUACUAAGUAGAUUUAUGUCGUUGUCUUCCGAAUAUGGAAAAUAAAUAUUGAUAUUUGAAAAGGAAUAUCCUUAAAAUAGAAGAAAAUGAAAUGAACACCACAAAUUUGCUUUGGAUAUGGCCCCAAAAUAUCAACUAUUCACUGUUUGUUCUUUUCUUUUAUUGAAAUGUGGUAAUGACGUAGCUCUCACUACUCUCAAUGUGUCUUUAUGCAAUGUGAAAUGUGAAUAAUGGAGAAUGUCCCCUAAGUUUAGGGCCAUUCAUGGGUCAUGUUGGAAUAAUAACAACUAUAUACAUGAACUAUAUAUAUUUUCACUCACAAAAUCUUUCUCUCCUCUUUUAAACAUUUUAAGGUUUUGGACGACAAAAAUAAAUGUAUGUUGAGGAAUUUCAUGACAUUUUGUAAAAAAUAAGGUCAUAACGUAUUACGUAGUGAUCAACUUUCCUUUUGUUAAUUUCUUUUAUGAUAUGUCGGUUGAGGUCGUAAUAAUUGAACCUUUGACGUUGAGGUUAAUACACAAGUACUACUAUAUGCUAGUUAAAAAAUCUUAUAGUGAAUUAAGAUACUUUAAUUAUAUUUUAAAGUAGUGUUUGGAAGGUUCGAUUCUCCUUAAAAAGCAGUUGAUCAACUAGUGAAGAUAUAAUCUUUUAGUGUGUUACCACUUAAACUCAUUGAUAUGAAUAAAUUAUAUGCAACUCCAUCUUGAAAUUUUUGUCGUGUGAUGAAGAUGUCUUUAUUCGUAUCACUCAUUAUUUUUGUUCUUUAUUAUUUUUCAUUUCACUCUUGGCAUUUUGUAUUCAUGAUUAUUUGUUUAAUAACGAAGAACUCUCAUAUUUGUUUAUCUAUGUUGAGUUAAGUUUUAUAGGACUCAAUUAUGGGGAGCACUCAACGAUAUUUAAUUUGUAAUAAUGUAUGAUAUUGUAUGGUAUUUAUUCAUAUUUACUAUCAUUCACAUUGUCAAAUUGCAUGAUUAAUCUUGUUAAUUUAAACUUGUCACUUAAAAAACUUGAGUAAACAACAAAUCUUAGAAAGAAGAUAAUAUAAAACUUAGACCGACCUAGACCAUGUAUAGACGUCAUAUGACCUUAAACCUAAGGGGUACUAUAUAAUACCAAGGAGUAUGAGCUAUUUAGUUCUUAAAAAGUUCUACUAAGCGACAAUAGAAAAGGUAGAUUUAAUCUUCUAGGGUUGACAAGAUGCUUCAAGAAAGGUUGAGUAGUGGUAUUUGAUUUAUGACACAUUCAUAAAAUAGGCAACAUUAUAAUUAUCUGUGCACCACUAAUUGUCGAAACUAACUUCAAUUUCAUGCUUUUCAUUGAAUUAUUUAUCUUUCAUCCGCUAAUUAACCACCACUUAUUUUUUGAGCUACCUUAAUUACUUUUUAAAACAAAUUAUAUGCAUGAAGUCAAACUAAAAUUAUAUCAAAUAUGAUACUUUCAAUUACUUUAUAUCAUUUACUCAUAACACAUCAAUGUUCAUGUUAGGACCUAUUAUACAUAAAUUACACGACUACCAAAUCCUAGACAUAAAACGGUUAAGAUAAUUGAAGUUUUAAAUUUUCUUUCGAGAACUAAUAUUACAAUUAUUUAAUCGUGCAGAGUGGGUCAUGUAGGAUCAUGGAGUUGUGAUUUUGAUGCUGCAAAGUAGGGCCAAGUAGUGUUUGAUGUCAAACAAAUUUUUAUUCAAGAAUCUAUCAGUAGAAUUUGAAGGGGUUUCUUCUAGUUUUUUUUUAAAAAAAGUGUUGAUACAUACACUUAGUUAUUAAUAUUCUUGAUGAUGGUGGACCAAGUUCAUGGUAUCCCUAUAGUGGAUCUUAAUAGUGUAAUUAUCUUUUGAUUAAUUUCAAACUUAGCACAUGUCACACAUACACUCCAUAUGUUUGUUAACAAAGUUAGUAAUAUAUAGUAUCAUCACCUUUUCCCACUACCUACUAAAAGCUUCUACACUCAAAAUCAAAAUCAAGAUUAAUAUUAUUGGGUGUUUUCUCUUCCACUAUAUAUAGAGAGAGAUUUUAUGUUUACAAUGUUUUAUAUCCACAAGUGCGAGGUUCCUCAAGAAGGUGAACAGAUGUAUCACAAAUAUAGUCUUUAAGCAUAAUAAUUACACUUGCACUUAAUUAAGACAAUCUCUUUGCUACCACAAUCAAACAUUCCAUAUUGUGAAAAUAUUGACCUAUGUACACAAACUUGGCCCAUAGAUUUCCUUUACUUAUUAAAGGAAACUUAAAACUAGCCACAUAAAAUUAAUAAUAGUGGAGGGAUAAAAUGAAUAUUUAUUUCAUUAUUACACCUUUUCUAUUUCAACUUCCAAUAAUAUAUUCUUCAAAUAAUCUAAAACAAAGAAAUUCAAUGACCCCUUGUAAAAUUACUAUUCAACACUCCAUAAUAAACAGUGAUUUAAACUGAUGACCUCACAAAUCUUUCUCUUGCUUCUUCUUUUUCUUUUUAAAAUACUCCCAAAACAACAAUAUCAUAUAAAUAAAUCGAUGUUUGGAUUAUAUGGUUAUUAAAUCACUUAUUAGAGUUUAAGAUAAUUGGUAAAUGUAAAUUUAGUAUUUCAUUAUCUAAUAUUUCUCCUCACAUUGUUGGAUUUGAAAAUAUGUAAAAGAGGAAAUUCAAUACUAAAUUUGUGAAAAAUAACAUAGCUUUUGAACAAUAGAUGUAGACGAUAUGCUUUUACACUAUCUUAAAUUACUAAUUAAUCUAAAAACAAAAAUUAAUAGGUAAAGAUAAAUUUAAUUAAUAUUAUAUUAAGCAACAAAUAAUUACUAUUAUAAUUUAUUUUUUGUAAUUACAUAAAUAAUAUGGUUAUCAAUAUCUUAAAAUUAAUGUUUAAGUUAAAAAUGUUGUUUUUUAAAAUUUUAAAUGACUUAAGGAUAAAUUUAUAUUAUUAAAUAAUUAUAAAAUUUGUGGCUACAUUAACAGUGGUUUACAUCUAAUUAAGUUACCAUAUAAUUUUAGUUUUUAUGUCAAAAAUUGAUUAAAAAAACAUAUAUAUUUAACUUGCCUAUCUAAGCACAUAUGUCAAGUAUUUCAAAUAUUUAAAUCUGAUAUAUCUAAUACUCAUACCUAUUAAAAUAGUGUCAACGUCUAUAGAUAUAUACUAGUUAAUGAAGUGUCAAAAAAUGAGUAAGAGUACAUUCAUGAGAUGAAAUAAAAUAUUAUUUAAUGACACAUCAAAUAUGGAUUGAAUUUAGGAAAGAAUUACAGAAUGUAUAUGUAUAAUAGAUAAUAAAAUAAAUGUUUAUAUAUACAACAUAAUGCUAACAACAUUAUUAGGGAAAUGAAAACAGUAGUUUAAACCUAUAAAAGAAAUGCCACUUUCCUUUGAAUAUACAGUUUUUAACCACUAAAAUUGAACCUUCAUAAAUUCGAAGGGACCAAAUUUGAAUAUUUUAUAUGAUUACAAAUUUGAUUAAUUUAAUCAAUUAUUGGAAUUGGUCGGUAGGUUUAAUAAAAUAGAGCGUGUGUGACGUGUGUGGGAAUUAUUGAAUAGGAUGAGGUGGAAUAUUGCAUCAAAGGAAAAAAGAAAGAAAAGCAAAAAAAGUGGAGUAUGACGUGGCUCCCUGAAGAGAAAAGGAAGAAAAGGAAAACGAGAAAGUCAACUAAUUUAAUGCUUAACUUACCACGUGUCAUGUCGUCAAGCAUAAAUAUUUUGCAAAAGAGCAGUCAACGGAAAUAUUUUUAUAACCAAAUUCCAAAACAGAAUAUUCCAAAAAGAUAUAAUUAAGAACAAAAUUUUGAAUGGUCAUUGCUUUUUUUUUUUUACAUUUUCAAGAUUAACUAAAAUUAGUUUAAGGUUUAAUAAUCCAAAUCUCAAUUGUCAAAAUAAUAAAAAUAAUGCAAAUCUCAAGUAUUGCCCGUACGGGUGAUGACUUGGAGUACGUAUCAUUUUAUCUCAUUUCUUAAUUUUUAUAAAUAUAAUACAAUAUUAAAAUAUUUACGGUUCGUAUAACAAAAUAAAAAAAUGCACAAAAUCGGUCAUUCUCAUUCUUUUUCUCUUCUUAUGCAAUUUUUCAUUUCUUAUUCAUGUCUUUCUUUCCUUUUUCUCUCUAAUUUUUCUUUUAUAUUUCUUUUUUUGAAAUUAGAAUCUUUGUUUUUAAUCAAUCAUGAAUUUUGUAUUUUAUUUUUCAGAGUGUUAUUUGAUUCAAGAUCGUGUAUCAAAUAUAAAAGAUAUUGAUAAACACCCAGGUAAGAAUGAAUAUUGAAAAAAAAUUGUUUAAAAAUGGAUAGUAAAAUUUAAAUGAUAUGAAUCUUGUAGACAAAUUCCAAAUCUAAUCCAUUUUCUUAACGAAGAAAAAUAAUCUUAAAAAAAAAAAGAAGAUUUAGUUUUGAGUAGGUAAUAGCCAAAUGAUCUUGUACUAGAAACAUAGUCUGUAAAUAUUUUUUUCUUGUGUUAUACUUUUUUAAAAACCACUUUGUUAUUUAACUAUUUUUUAUAGUUUAUAAAUAUUAUUAAAUAAGUCCUUAAUAAAUAUUUGUAGAAGUUUUUUAAAUUGGGUGAAAAAAAUUGUAAUAAUUUAUAUUAACUAUUUGUAAUUAUUAAGUUCAAAUAUAUUUAUAAAAGAAUAUACAAAUUAAACAUGUAUUAAACAAUAUAUAAACUAAAACAUUUUGCACUAUUCUUUUCGCAGAAAAAAAAAAUACUUCCUAAUUUUCUUUUUCAAAUUCUUGUGAUCAUUAUCUUGUUCAAAUUAAUAAUCUUUUUUUUAUAUGAUCGAGAUGAUUUGACUAUAUUUCUGAUUUCAACUUUAUUCUUUAUAAAAAAAAAUAACUAAUAACUGCGUUAGAAAUUUUAAAUCAAAAUAUUUCCUUUAUUUUUUUAGUUAUGUGAUAAUCAUCUCUUAAUUAAAAACAAAACUCUUAUUUGUAAAAUUGGAAGAGAAAAAAUGAGGGUGGUGCUUACUUUUUAGAUAGGAAAAAAAAAUUGAAGCUCAAACAAGAAAAAAGAAAAGGAUAAUAUUAACAAAUUUUUCAUUAAAAGAUGAAUAUUGGCAUGGAGCUACAAAAUAAUCUAUUACUAGAAAAGAAUUUGUCAAAAAAAAAGAAAAAAAAAAAGAAAAGAAUAAUUUGAUAAGGUGAUUGUAGCUAAAAUUAAAAAAUAUAUAUAUAACCUAAAUUUAAAAAAAUCCAAGAUAUCAAGUAAACAAUAAAAAUUAAGAUUUUAAACUAAAUAAUAAAUUUAAGGCAAUUUAUAAAUGAAUUUCCAUGUAUUCAAAUAAUAUGUCCAAAAAAAUUUCUAUUGAAUCUUUAUAAUUAAAAUAAAAUUAUCUCAUAUCCAUAUAACCAUAACCAAGAAAAUCUUUGAUUUGCUCUUUAUAAUUAAGUAAAAUUAUUUAAUCUAUCUAUUAAUCCAUAUAAACAUAACCAAAUGUUUGAUGUAAAUGAAACUAAAAUAAAUUUACCUUUUCUAUAUAACGUUAAAUUGCAUCCUAACAAUGUUAUGAAAUUAAAAGUGUAUUAGCUAUUCUCAUUUUUAUUAUAAAAUUAAAAAAAAAAAAAACAUAUUCACCUACUAUUUUCUUUGAUAAAAGUUAAUUAAUUAUCUUAUCAAUUUUAGUCAAUAUAAUCUUGUAAUUAAGUUUAACAUUUGAAUAUAAUAAAUAAACUUACAUAAUAUUUGUGGUUGAAUCACUUUGAACUAUUAGUGAUAGUAUAUUCUAAUGACGAUUAUUUAAUUUACAUAUUUUGCAUUUAAUUAACAAUAAUAAUUGAAUGAUAUAUUUCAAUUAAUAUUUUCAAGUUUAACGUAACUUAGUUGGGAUCCCUAAUAUAAUUUUAAAAAGCUAAUAGAAUAUACUUUUUGUUCAAAUUAAUCAGAACAAACUUCUUACCUACCUCAAUGUCUAAAUCUAAUUUUUUAAAAUAAAAAUAUCAAUCCUUCUAUAUAAAUUUUGGAUUUAAUUUCUAGUUUAAAAUAUUUCAAUUAACCUUUAAAUUUUGUUUUUUUUUUAAUAUAUUUUAAUUUGAUUUGUUUGUUUCACUCAAAUUAUUUUUUACAAAAUAAGAACUUGAUGAGUUAAAAAGCACACUAUUUCUCAUCCUAUUAAAUUUAAAUUUAAACAUUCACUUUAUAAUUAUUUUAAAUUAGUUUGAUAGACUUUAAAAGUAAAAAAAAAUAUAGGUGAGUAUUUAAUAGAUUAUCAUGCUUUGCAUAACCAACCAUUUGAGUCUAAUUGAAGAUACCAUAUAGUGACUUAAGUUUGAUGUGGUUUUUUUGAUAGAUAAUGUUAUUUUAAAUCAUUUUUUCUAAUCAUGUUACAUCACAUCAUGAAUAUAUAUUAAAAAGUAAACAUUUUGGAACUUAAGAAUCAAAUUGAAUCAAAACUCAAAUUUCAAAAUAAUUAAUUUUUAUAAAUAAUUAAUUUUUAUAAAUUUAGGAACUCAGAUUCAAAUGCAUAACUCAGAAGUUAAUUAGGAAAGAGAGAUGAUAUAUUGAUUUUAUGUUGAGGAGGUUUGUAUAAUUGUAUUGGUAUGGUUGAUUUUCCCACUUGAAAAUUUUAAUAAAUCUCAUUAUGUGGAAAAAGAGAGGAGAAUGUGUUGGCAUUAUUUAGAUAUUUAAGAUUCUUCAACUCUUCCAUUUUAUUUUAUUAAUUAUUACCAACUUGAAGAAAUUGUAGACAAAUGAAAUUGUGUCCAGAUGCAUUCUUCAAACUUCCAAGAGGUUUUUUUUAGCCAUAUUUUAAUAUAUUACUUACUGAAUGGAAUUUUAGACAUAAUAACAAAAAUAUUCAUUCAGUAUUUUGUGUAAAAAAAUAAAAAGUAAAAAAGAUGCAUAAAAUUAAGCCAUCUAAGUUGCACCUAAUUAUUAUUGUUUUGUCAAAAUUAAAAAAAAAAAGAUGAUAUUAAAUUAUGAUAAUAUGAUAACUACUAAGAAAACCUACUAAUCUUAUUUCCUCAAAGUAGGCCAUUAAUCUCAUUUUUAUUUACUAUGUUAUUAGAUCUAAACCACCAAUUUGAAAUUUGAAAUUGAUUUUCUUUAAUUAAGGUACUUCAUGCAACUAUGAGAUUUGGUUUUAACUGUUGUUAUGUAGAAUUAAUUGUAGUUGACCUUAGACUUAAAAUUAACAUACUAUAUAGACCUUUGGUAGCAUGUAAUGUAUUUAAACAAAAAUCAAUUUGAUUUUUCUAUUUUUUUAUUUUACAUUCAUGUACCAAUUAAAAAGAAGUACAUUACUGUUCUUUUUUAUGUAUAUUUUUUUUUAGAAUUAAAAUUUUAUAUUAAGGAUAAAUAUUUAAAUAUGAUUGAAUAUAUUAUAGUUUUUUUUCUAAAAGAUAACAUAAAGAAUUUCUAUACAUAUUCUUGUUAUAAACGUGUAGUUAAAUAAUUUCUAGUUGGUCUAAGUUUAUUUCUUAUUAUUAAUAAAUAUUUAUUAAUAUUGAGAUAGAUAGUUCAAAUGAAAUAUAUUAUAAUUAUAAAAUAGGAUAGCCACGCUAAUGCACUUUUAUUAUUCUUAUUGUAACUAAAAAUCAUGUUGUGAUAGUGUUUAGAAAUGCAUUUUAAUUAAUUUUGGGAGGUAUCUAAUUUUUAUUUAGAUAAAAAGGUUGUAUGUCAAUGAUGUAUAAGUGAUAAAUCUUAAUAUCAUACUAUAAUUUAAAUAUUACAAAUUUAUCAUUUAUAUAGUCUAUUUGUCGAGGAGAGAUUUUAACGAUAUUUAUGAAGUAAACUUAAUAAUGCUUUAACAUAAAUUUCAACAAUGUCUUAAGUUUCAUUUUUAUUUUUGAUCUUUUAAUUUAUUUAAAAAAUAACCCUACAUUUAAACUUUCAGAAAUGAAUAAAAAAGAAAAUUAGUAUAUUUAAUUCAAUUACAUCCUUUAAUUUUAACAUAUGCUUAAUUAUUUUGUGAUCAUUAUUGAAGUUUCUGUUUAAUCCAGAAUUAAUUUCAAAACAAAAUUGACUUUUCCAAAGAAAACAAGAUGUGAUAAUUAUUUUUCUUUUCAAGAAAAAUUCAAAAAAAAAGUUAGAAAAUAUUUUUAGUAGUGUAUUUUUAGAAAAAUAUUGACAGAAGUAGGAUAGACAGAAAAGAAAUAAAAAGCAGAGUAACAAAAUCGUGUACCAAGUCCACAACUACGCUAAAUCAUGGAUCAGGUACACGUCUAGAAGUCGAAAUCUAACUUUAAAUCUAUCUUUUCUGGUAGUCAACGACUCAACAAUACAAUUGACUGCUACAUUUAUCUAGCAUGCAGGGUGUUGGGGACCAAGUGCAUAUUUAAACCAUAUCAAUCUUAAGUUAUCACUAUGGUUUCAAUAUUUAGAACAUAAAAAUCUUUCUAAUUAUUAAUUACUUUACAUUGUCACCAUGGUUUCAAAAGUAAUUAAUACAAAGCCGAUUAGGUGAAUAAUUUUUUUAAAAUGUUUGUGUUAAAAAGAAAAAGAAUAGGUAGAAAUUUCUAAUGCAGGUGAACAUAGAAACUAAAGUUUUUUUUGUAAAUAGCAUAAUAAUCAUAAUAAUUUUAACUGGAUUAAUUAAGACAAAAAUAAGGGCACGACUAGUUAAGUUUUUAAGAAAUUAAACUAUAAUUUACUUGUUUUUUAGGAAGUCGUGUACGAUACACAACUUCCUUUAAUCUAGUCAGGUUCUACAUGUGAGUCAAACUGGUCAAAAUAGGCUGACAUGGAUUAACGAAAGUCAUGUAUUUGGUACACAACUUUUUUCUUUUUAAAAAACUACCCUUAUAUUUUUACCGUAGUUUAAAUAUCUACCCUAUUUUUAUCAUUUCUUUACAUAUACUACCUUAUUUUUGUCAUUAUUUUUCAACCAUGUAUAUUUUUUAAAAUAGUUCCAAAAUUUAAAUGGAUAGCUAGGUAGACAACAAAAUUAUAAAUGAAAUUUGAAGCCCUAUUUCAUGGUAUAUUGUGAAAAGUAGUGAUAGGAUAUGUAUAGGAGAAGAGAAAGAGAAAAAAAAAAAACAAUAAUUUAUAUUGUCAACCAAAAUUAGUUUAACAAAAAUUUAUACGUGCGACAGAUAGCCAAAAGGUUCGUAGUUCAAAUCCUAUAUUUUUAUUCCAGUCUUUUAAAUAAGCUUGCACGAAGUGAUUUCCAUCCAUUUUCAAUAUGUGUAUUACUAGUAUAUUUAUACAUUUUAGUAGUGUGGUCAAACAGAACACAGUUGAUCAAUUGACGUGAAAAAAUAUGAUAUCAACUUCAAGUGCGAUGAAUAAUAAUAAUUUAUUUCUUUUAAAGAUGGUGCAUAUUUUCUUACAUAGAAUACAAUAAUGCAGAGUCUUCCAUCCUUAGUUUUUUUGUUUGACUUUAAAUGGCAAUUCAUUAAUAAAGUUUUGCAAUAAUAAUAUGAUAAGGGUUUGGAUAAAUUUUUUAUAGCCUUUUAUGAUAACUUUUCAAAGAGAUUUGGUCUUACUUUAUAGCCUCUCCUAGCUAUACAUUAAUCAUUAAUGUUAUACACUGCUUAUGAGUCUUGUGGCUUGGGAGUUUGAUUAAUUAUUGAGAGGCUCUAUAGUUGUGGAUAUUAAGUGUGACAUGUUAUUCAUAGAUAUAAAAUACUUUACUAUAUAAUAAAAUAUUAGAAUCUUAUUUCGUGAUUAUUUCAAAAUCAACAGUUAAGCGCAAUACAAAGAAGGUAAAGAUUGACACACACACGCAUAUAUAUAUAUACAUGUGUGAUUCAUUAACCAUAUAUGUUAGUUAUGUGGAUAACAAAUAUUAUUAGAGAGAAUGUUACAAAAUACGUAAUACAACACUAUUAGAUUGGAGAAUUUAUAUAUUAAUUGCACUUCUCUAAACUCCAACAUUAGGUUGUUCGCAGCACUAAUAAUCAAUUCAUAGCAUUUCAAGAAGUUCAAAAGAUAACUAUAGAACGUUAUAACUAACAUUGGAUAUAAUCCUAUGACCAACGAUAAUUAUAUGGGAGAUUCGAUAUUUAUUACAAUUUUUUAAAAUAUAUAAGGAAUUUCAAAAAAUAACAAAAAUUUAUAAUAAAAGGUUCAUGUCACUUGUAUUUUCAAAAUUGUAAAAAUAACAAAUUUAAAAGCAGAUUACCAUCUAAUGCAAUAUCCUAAAAUAUUUUAGGAUUAAUAUCAAAACUCAUUUCAAAGAUGGAAGAAGACUAAAAGAUUCAUUAAAUUAUAUAUUAUAUAUAAAAAAGAAAGAGAUUUUUUUAUUUCCGUAAAUAUCUAAGCCCAUGAAUUGAACCCAUGACCUUUUAUUUAAAUAUUAAGAGCAUGUCUCUUUUUUUACUACUAGGUCAAUCCAUGAUGGUUAAAAAAAAGAGAUCGAGUAAUCUGUAUAAGAUAAAUCUUCCAAAUAAUUGAGGGAGCUAUCAGAUUCAACCUCAAAUAAAUUGUGAGUUUGUAUUACAUUUUUUUAGUUUUUAAUUUAAAAAAUAAAUUAUUUUGAAAAUAGUUUAAACCAUUUUUACUUUCAUUUUACUUUUCAUUUUUCUCGCGUUUAUUUGAACUUUUUUUUUUUUCAUUAUUUUUCUCUUAUACUUUUUCAUUUAUGUAUAAAUAAUUAUCGAAAUUGUUAAAUAAUACGAGUUUAGUUCAUAAAUCCUAAAUCCUCAAUUCUUCUAUUUUAUGUAUUAAUUAUGAUUAAACUUAAACUUAAGGUUCAUGCACUAUAUUAAUUUGAGCCUUUCAUUUUAUUUGAAAUAGAAAUAAUUUGCAAUAUAUUACUAAAAGAAUUUAAAUAUUAUAUUAUUUAGUUAGUUCAAAAUUUAAAAGCAAAAGAAAAAAUAUAAUGAAAAGUAAAACAAAAACAACAAAUAAAAGAGAAAAAGAAAAAAGAAAAAAGAAUAGAUUGGAAAAGUUGAGAUUUGCAAUCACUAAGCCCUACUUUUAAAGAUGUAGUCUCCACCACCCCACCAAAUGCCAAUUCUAACUCUUUGAUGCAUCUUUGUUUGCCUUUCUUUUUCACAAGACGAAGAUGCUUCUUUAUUUUAUUUUUUUUAUAAUAAAAGUCAUUUUAUUGUUCUUCCUCGAGGAUACCCUAAAAAGGUUUGAUGUCAUUUAAAAUGAAAAACAAAAACAAAAACAAAACAACUUGCAAAAACGAGAAUAUUUUAUAACAAAUUUCAAAUGGAAAGAUUAUUUUAAAUAACAAAAGUACUAAAAUAUUUUUAAAAUACGGUCAAAUUUUAGAUUCUAUUAGAAAUAGAAUUUGAUAGAUACUAAUAGACUUCUGUCAAUGUUUAAAAAUGUCAAAUCUGUCUCAAUCAUCAUUUGUCUGAAAUUUUGUUGUAAAUAUUUUAGUUUAUUAUGUUAUAUUCGCAAAUACCUCUCAUUCAAAUCUAACAAAAUAAUCCAAAUUAUUUACAAAUAUAGCAAAAUUUUAGAACUUAUAAAUUGAUAGAUUUUGAAAUUUUGGUAUAUAGGUUCAAUAUUUUUUAAAAAAAUCCAAUAUUUGAUAUUAAUUUAUUGAUUAAUUAGGAUAUAUUAAUUUUGAGAUAAAAGAAACCACAAAUCUUGCAAGAUCUUGUUGAAUGAGUUUUGAAGUUUGUUGAAUAAUAAUGUCAUAAAAUUAAAAAUGUGAUGAUAUAUAUAACAAUAUACAAUUGAAUAGAUUGGAUGUUCCAAUAGGUAUAUAACAAUUUUGGUUAACCAUAUAUAAUUAUAUUUUAUAAUAAAGUAAAUUGAAAAAAUAUGUCAAACAAAUGGAGACUACAAGUAUGGCUUAAAAAUUAGUUAUAUACUCACAAUGAAUUAAGUAGAACUUUAGGUUAAAAUGAAAACACGUGUGUGUCUAUACAUAUAAUAUGUUACAUCUAUGAGUUCAAAUCAACAAGUCCCAUCACUUAUUAUACGGCAAUGGCCAAUGGCCAAUGGGAAUCACAUCUAAAACCAAAUCAAAUCAUUGAUCAACUCAUCCUUACUUUUUCCUCCAAUACAAACGUUGGAGACUAUAUGUCAAAUAUUUAUGUGCUGGACCAAUAAGUUGACACAUUGAUUAGUUGUUUAUAUAAAUAUAAUCCAAGAAAAGUGGGCAUUUUUCUUUUUAAUAAAAUACAUACAUACAUACAUAUAUAUGUGCUAAGUAAUUAAAGGAUAAAAAAGAAAGAAUUAAAAGAUAGUUUAAAAGGGAGAGAAAAAGUGGAAAAGGGAAAAUUUUCUUUUAGUGCAUUUGUUCCUCUCUUUUGUAUCCAUGGCCAACUUCGAUUCUCCAUUCUUUUCUCUAUCGUUUCUACCAAGGUUUUAGAGGAAGCUCAAGAGGGAACUUAGAGAAGAAGAUAUAUAUAUAUAUAUAUUAUUUUCUUUUUCUUUCUUUUCAUUUUCAAUCAAUAAAUUUUAAACUUAUUAAAACAACUCCAACCUAAAUCUUUGCCAUUUUCUUCAACAAAUUAAUUCAACUUUAAAAAAUUCAAAGAAAAAUCUUGGGUUUACAACUCACCUCCUUCUUAUAAAAUUUCAUCUUGAAAUUUAGAAAUUGUUAAGUGAAGGGUGUCUGAUAACUCCUCCUCAUCUAGUCUUAUAACUCUCAAAUUGCUUCAUUUGCUCUGUGAUGCCUCCAAAAAAAUCUUCAUGAGUGAAAUCGUCUUGUUCCUCAACACUUACUUUUUUUUCUUUUAAGGUUUGCAUUGGAGCUUCCUCAUAACUCAGAUCCUCUUUUAAUUCUACUAGUUGUGCUUCCCUUAACUUUGAUACAUGGAACCCAUAAUUUAUUCUAGUAAGUUUUGUUGGCAACUCCAGUAUGUAUAUAUUGCAAAAUAUCAAAAAGUUCAAAUAUGACUUUUACUAUUUUAUUUUGUUUCUAUAUUUAAAAAUGUUUCUAACUAAUUUUUUAUUUAAAGCCAUUUUUCUAUAAAAUAGAUAGUAAUAAUACUUGCAUACAAGAAAGUAUCUAAAACCAUAGUCCUACAUUUUUAGAAAAUACAUAAACUAAUACUAGUUUAACUCUUUUAAAAAAAUGGUAAUGAUAACAAAUAUAAUAAUAACGACAACAAUAUUAAUAUAAGAAAACGAAAUUAUUUGUAUAUUUGAAGAAAAAAAUGGAAU